AUGCUCAACUGCCAAAAGUUUGUUGCAACUUGAGAGCCUAUCUAUAAGUGAAUGUGAAUCAAUGAAGGAAAUAGUAAAAAAAGAAGAAGAAGAUGCUUCUGAUGAGAUCACAUUUGGAAGCCUCAGAAGAAUAAUGUUGGAUUCAUUACCAAGGCUAGUAAGGUUUUAUUCAGGGAAUGCCACUUUGCAUUUCAAGUGUUUGGAAGAAGCCACGAUUGCAGAAUGCCAGAAUAUGAAAACAUUCUCAGAAGGAAUAAUAGAUGCGCCAUUAUUAGAGGGGAUUAAAACUUCAACAGAGGAUACUGAUCACUUAACCUCCCACCAUGAUCUCAACACCACAAUCGAGACCUUGUUUCACCAACAGGUAAGGAAUUCAUUAUCCAAACUCAAUUCUUAUUUAUUUAUAACCAAGUACUGGAUCAUGAUAAUUAAUCAAUGUCUCAACAACAUUGAUUAAAAAAAUUGAAGUUAAAAUAUAUUUGUCAUUUUUAAUAAAUAUUUGAAUUUUAUAUUUAUUUUCUAAUCAUUUUUUUUUAUUUUUUUCUCUUACAAAACAAAAAUUUGUUCUCUUAUAAAAAAAAUUGAAUCGUUAUUUUUACCUUUGAAAAAACAGUAAUAACAAAUACAAAUAAUUUUUUGGGAGCAAACAAUUUUUUUAAAUUUAUAAGAGAUUAAAAAAGUGUCAAUAUGACAAAAAUAAAAAAAAAUUCUAUUAGAGACUAAUUUAAAAAAAAAUUAUGAAAGAACAAAAAAAAUCAUAUAUUUAUUAGAGAUUAAAAAUAUAUUUUAUCCAAAAUUUUAAAAUAAUUUUUUUAAAAAAAUUACUUUGAAAAUGAUUUGGAAAUUAGAAUAGGGAUGUACCCACUCUGUUAUAUAAAAUAAUAGUAUUUUAAGAAACAUUUAAUUAAUAUAAAUUUAGACAAAAUACCCUUAGUCUUCCAACCACUUUUGCCAUAAGUUAUCCUACUAGCAAUCCAAUUUAUUUUUAUGGUUGAUAUCUUCUUUUAAUGCAACUGAACUUAUUGUUGUGGUUGACGUCUCUUUUUAAGGCAAGUAUAAAUUUAACCUCCUAAUUAUAUAUAAGAGUCUUGUUGAAAAACAAUUUAAAAAGCUAAAGGACUAUUAUUUUGAAGAAGAAAAAAGCUAACAAGAUCUUUUAUUGUAACAAAUGGAAUAUUAAUAAUACUUAUUAAUUAAUUAAAAAAAAUUCUAUUUUAAAUUCUUUAACGGGUGUCCUUAGGACAUUUAUUAACAUUCGCCAUAAAUUUAAUUUUCAAGACACAAAUUGAUUCUAGAGUAGUAGUUCUCUUUCCUUAUAUUUUAAGACAAUGUUAAAUAAUAUUCUUAGGGUAGUGAUUAAAAAAGUAAAAGAUAAAAAUUUAUUGGAAUGCUUUAAAAUGCUCUCACCUAUGAUUUUAAAAUGUGUUUUCAUAUGAUUUUUAACAAAAUAUUUUUCCUUUUGGUUCUUUAAAUAAUGUCUUAAAGACACUAGUUAAUUAGACCUUUAUUUUGGAAUAUGUACUUCCCCCUCUGUUGAGUUUCACUUUAAGUAAUUUUCAAUGUAGACAAUAUCUUAAUAGUUGUGAAUAAAUAUAAAUUAAUGUGUCCCUGAGUGUUAUAUUAUCUUUUGCUAUAACUCUUCAUGUCACCACCAACUUAUUUUGAUAAUCUUAUAAAUUGUUUAUCAUAGAUUUUUAUAUCCACUUAGUUAUUAUAAAGACUCCACUUAGUUUAUAUCCAUUCAUUCACCAACAAAGUUAUCAUCACCUCUUUGUACUCUCCAACACUUCAUUUUGUAGUAAUUUAUAGGAUUAAUCCAGUAAAAAAUUAGUCUUCAAGUAUAUAAAGCACCGAUAUCAUAAGUGAAUAAAUAUAACAUAAAUGAAAGAUUUAUAAUAAAAUGAAGUAUAAAAUAUGUUUUAGAUUUGCUGAUAAAUUAACAAAUUUUGUAUUUGUUUCCUAAUAAAUUUUUUCUUUGUAUUGAAUCACCUAUAAAAUAAUAAUUUUAUUUUUUAUUCUUGACAUCAUUUUUUAUUCACUAAUAAAUUAGCGAUUUUUUUUGUACCCUAGUCAUUUUUUUUCAAGUGUUAUUAGUCUUUUUAAGGAACUUAUAACAAAUGAAAAAAAAAAAUUAUUACAAAGAAAACACAAAAUUCACAAUUUAUGAGGGACUGAAAAAGGAAUCAUGGAUAAAAAAAAUAUUUUAUUAGGGACUCAAUACAAAAAAAAAAGUUUGUUAGAGAACAAAUAUAAAAUUUAAGUAUUUAUUAGAAAUCGAAAACAUAUUUUAACCUAAAAUAAAUAUAAAAAAAAGAGCUACUUAUAAAAAGAAAUGGCAAAAUUGGUUCCCCACUUUAUCUCCAAUUUUAAAUUUGGUCCCCCUAUAAUUUAAUUCACAAAUUUGGUCUCUCAGUUUUCUAAAUCCUUGCAAAAUUUGUCCUAGAAGCCCAAUUUGGACGUUGACCAUUAACCUCAGACGUUCACAAUCACGUGUCAAUGCCACGUGUCAACGUCUGAGUGGUUCCCUGUAAAAGCUUCAUUUUUUGGAGGUAAAAUUGCACUUUUGGUCCCAAAAUUUUACUCCAAUUUCGAUUUUGGUCCCCUAUAAUUUAAUUUAUACAUUGGGUCCCCCAGUUUUAUAAAUCCAUUUAUAAAUUGUUCCUGCGAAAUUAGUCUUUUGAAUGGUUUAGCCAUUGGUGUUAGAGACAUGGUAGGUCUUGAUAAAUCUCGCACUUCUUUUUCAUUGCAAGUUUUUCACUCACUUGGAACCCAAAGAAAAAUCACUAUUUGUCUCUCUCCCACUUCUGGGGUUGUUCAACUUGAAAAAAAAGGGAAGUGUGUGUUUGGGAGGGUAGUUUAGAGAAAAAAAAAUAGAGGAAAACCAAGAAAAUAUUGUACUAGUAAUAAAGGCGAGUAGAAAUAACAGUUUUCUUAUUUUUUUUAUAAGAAGACUAAUGUGAGUCCAAAACAUUCUAUCAGACUUCUUUUCUCUUCUCUUCUGUCUACUUUUAGUUUUUUUUUUUUUUUUUGGGCAUGCAUGGGCCGAAAAGGUCUUUCAUCUUUUUCUCCUUAUAUUUUUAUUUCAUUAUCAUUUUUUUAUUUAUAUUUUUUGCAUUCUUUAGACACCUGGAUCAAAGACCUUAGCCACUAUUUUAUUCCUAUUUUGCUCUUACUACAAUUUAGACCAUUGGAAUCCACUCUAAAAAAUAAUAAAUAAAAUUGUGAAUAAAAUAAUAUUUAAAUUGUGGGCUUCUGACCGAAUAACUCUUCUAUAUUUGCACCGUUAUUGGAUAUGCUCUUAUUUUACCUGACUUGAAUAACUGAUUUCUACUUGACAAUGUAAAAAUGAUACAAAAAUAAUAUAUAUCAAAAUAAAGCUCUUGAUUUAAUUAGAAAAGCAAGAAUGAGAAUCGAAAUUUAACACGAGUUAAUCGCAGAUUUCAAUUAAUGAGGCACAUGUAUAUAUAGUUUUCUACAAUCAAAUGUAAAUCCAAGAGGUACACAUGAGACUUGUCAAGUAUCUGAUGUUUAGUUUCUCUCGCUUUUAAGGUUUUCUUCGAAUACUCAAAGCAUAUGAUCCUUGUCGAUUACCUUGAGACAGCGGGUGUUACGCACGGCAAACCUGCUUUUCUGAAGAAUUUCUUUGGCAGUUUAAAGAAAUUAGAAUUUGAUGGAGCCAUUAAAAGAGAGAUUGUAAUUCCAUCUGAUGUACUUCCUUACUUGAAUACCUUAGAAGAAUUGAAUGUACAUAGCUCCGAUGCAGUGCAGAUAAUAUUUGACAUGGAUGACACUGAUGCCAACACCAAGGGAAUAGUCCUUCCAUUGAAAAAGCUUACUCUAGAGGACUUGUCAAAUUUGAAAUGUUUAUGGAACAAAAACCCACCAGGAACUCUCAGCUUUCCCAAUCUGCAACAAGUGUCCGUUUUUAGUUGUAGAAGCUUGGCAACACUGUUCCCUUUGUCCCUUGCCCGAAAUCUUGGGAAGCUUCAGACCCUUAAAAUACAGAUCUGUCACAAGUUGGUAGAAAUUGUUGGAAAGGAAGAUGAAAUGGAACAUGGAACAACUGAAAUGUUUGAAUUCCCUUAUUUGAGGAAUUUGCUUCUUUAUGAGCUGUCACUGCUUAGUUGCUUUUAUCCUGGGAAACACCAUCUGGAAUGCCCCUUAUUAGAAAGGUUGGAUGUGUCCUAUUGUCCUAAGUUGAAGCUAUUCACAUCAGAAUUUGGAGAUAGUCCCAAACAAGCAGUUAUAGAGGCUCCAAUUAGCCAACUACAACAACAACCUCUGUUCUCGAUUGAAAAGGUGACAAAACAUUAUCAGUUAAGCUUCUUUUUUUUUUUUAAUUUCAUAUUAUAUUUUCCUCCUUCUAACUACCACCGUGCAUUUUCUUUUGAAUUUGUUUGGCCUUGCUAGAUUGUUCCCAAUCUGAAGGGAUUAACACUCAAUGAGGAAGACAUUAUGCUGUUGAGCGAUGCACAUUUGCCACAAGACUUCCUUUUCAAAUUAACUGAUCUUGAUCUAUCCUUUGAGAAUGAUGACAAUAAGAAAGAGACUUUGCCUUUUGAUUUCCUUCAGAAGGUACCCAGCUUAGAUUAUCUUCGAGUGGAAAGGUGCUAUGGUCUGAAGGAGAUAUUUCCCUCUCAGAAAUUCCAAGUUCAUGACCGUUCACUUCCCGGAUUGAAACAAUUAAGACUGUAUGAUCUUGGAGAGCUGGAGUCGAUAGGGUUAGAGCACCCAUGGGUUAAGCCAUACUCUCAAAAGCUUCAAUUAUUAAAGCUUUGGGGGUGCCCUCAGUUAGAAGAAUUAGUGAGCUGUGCAGUGUCUUUCAUCAAUCUAAAAGAGUUGGAAGUGACGAACUGUAAUAGGAUGGAGUAUUUAUUGAAAUGCUCAACUGCCAAAAGUUUGUUGCAACUUGAGAGCCUAUCUAUAAGUGAAUGUGAAUCAAUGAAGGAAAUAGUAAAAAAAGAAGAAGAAGAUGCUUCUGAUGAGAUCACAUUUGGAAGCCUCAGAAGAAUAAUGUUGGAUUCAUUACCAAGGCUAGUAAGGUUUUAUUCAGGGAAUGCCACUUUGCAUUUCAAGUGUUUGGAAGAAGCCACGAUUGCUGAAUGCCAGAAUAUGAAAACAUUCUCAGAAGGAAUAAUAGAUGCGCCAUUAUUAGAGGGGAUUAAAACUUCAACAGAGGAUACUGAUCACUUAACCUCCCACCAUGAUCUCAACACCACAAUCGAGACCUUGUUUCACCAACAGGUAAGGAAUUCAUUAUCCAAAUUCAAUUGUUAUUUGUUUAUAUAUCUAAACAUAGGGGGCAUGCUAAUUAACCAAUGUCUCAACAACAUUGAUUAAAAAUUUCAAGUUAAAAUAUUAUUGUAACUUUAAAUAAAUAUCUAAAAUUUGUGUUUGGUUCUUAAUAAUAUUUUCUUUUUUUGUGUGUCAUAAGUUUUUUUUUUGUUAUUAUUGGUCCUUCAUAUUUUUUAUAAUUCUUAAUAAAUUAAUAAAUUUUAUAUUUAUUUGUUUAUUAUUUUUUAUUUUAAUAUUUUUUUUUAAAAUGACUAAUAAGAAAUACAAUUAAUUUAUUUGGGAGCAAACAAAAAUAAAUUUCUUAAUUUAUAAGACACUAAAAAAGUAUCAUUGACCAAAAAUAAGAUUGUUAUUUUAUUAAAAAUUCAAUAUAAUUUUAUUUUCCUUUUAAUUCCUUAAAUAAUAUCCUAAAAACACUAGUUAACCAAACCUUUAUUUUAAAAUGUACACUCUCCUUCUUUCCCUUGCACUUUAGGUAAUUUUUAAUGUAUAUAAUAUCUUAAUAGUUGUGAAUAAAUAUGAAUUAGUGUGUCUCCCAAUUAUAUAUUAUCUUUUUCUACCACUUUUAAUGUGACCACCAACUAAUUUUUAAAAACCUAUAUAUUGUUGAUCAUAAUUUUUUUAUAAAGUAGAAUGAAGCUUUAAAUAUCUUUAUUAUCACCAAUGAAUUAGGGUCUAAUAAAAGAGGUUAAUCGAUGUAAUAAAUUAAUUAUAUAUGUUUCAAAUUAUUGAUAAAAUAGAUGUUCACAUUUAUUAUCUGACUUAGUUUUAAAUAGAAUUGUCUCUAAAUUAAAAACUAAAAAAUAUCUCUUUAAUUGCUUAUGAAAUUUCAUCUUCUAAUCAAAGUCACAAAAUUCAUAUCAGUUCGAAAUUUGUAAAUCAUGGUGAGGAUCACUGCAAGAGAAUUAUUAUUUAGAAAAAAACUCAUUUACAUGAUAUAGACUGAAUUAUAAUACUUAUUUAUCUUUCAAGGAAGAAGAGUGUAUAUUUUAAAAUAAGAGUGAAAGUGAAUAUAAUUUAAGCUUCUCUAGGAUAGCAGAAGGAGAUUUACUCUAAAAUAUUUCUUACGGCAUACAUUACUUAUUACAUUAAAAACUUGUCAUGAUAUCUUUGUUUGCUUUUACCAACACUUGUUUGAUCUUUUACCAAUAGGUUGUGUCAUAAAUCAAUAUCUCAAAAGUUUAUUUGUUUUGGACAAAGACAUACAUAUGGUUUUAUAUAUUAUAUCUCUAAUUUGUCUUUGAAUCCCUUUGAUUAGCUUGAAAUGUGGAUAAUACAAUCCAUCUACCUUUAGACUCUAAUACGUACUUACAAUAUAUAUCAUGAACCAAUAAUUAAUGUCACAAGAUUAAGCUGUUACGUAAAGGCACAUGAAUGAUUUUAAUUAAUAAUAUAUCUCAUAUAUUAAAUUUCAAAUACAUUUUCAUUAUUACAAUGGCUAUUGUGAGAACAACAUAUUUAUAAUGUUCUUAUUAAGUUUUAUUUGACUUAUUAUAAUUGAUAAAUUUUGUGUUUGUUAUUUUAUAAUAAUUUUUUUUCAUUGGCUCUCCUAUAAAAUAAUUUUAUUUCUAUUCUUGGUAUCGUUUUUUAAUCACUAAUAAAUUAGUGAACUUUUUUUUGUAACCUGAUAUUUUUUCAUGUUAUUAAACAAAAAAUUCAUAAUUUAUUAUCAACUAAAAAAAGUGUCAUAAACCAAAAAUAAAACUUUUAUUUUAUUAGGAAUUCAAUACAAAAGAAAAAUAUUUAUUAAAAAAUAAAUACAAAAUUUAAAUAUUUAUUAAGGAUCUUAAACAUAUUUUACCCUAAUAUAAAUGUGAGAAGAAAGGAAAAGAGAGCUACCUUAUAGAAAGAAAUUAAGUAUCUAAUGGACCAAAAAGAUACAGCAGUCAAAUUUGUUGUAUUUAACCCGUGUAACAAGACAAAAGAUAAGGUUCAUAAUCUCCACUAUGGAUAACACAUGUUUUGAGACUUCAAACACAUUUUUUGGAAGCUUCAAACAAAAGAAUACAUUUUCAUCCUACUUAAAUUGUAAAGAAAAAAUGAAAACCUAAAUUAGAGUAAGAUCAACUUCUAUGAAUAUUCAUUUUUAUCCUCUAACUUUUUAUCUUUAUCUAUAUUUUAAUUUUUUAAUCCAUGUUUUUUUGUUAUUGCUAAUACCUUGAAGAUAGUUUAGACCAUGUCUAUUAGGACAAAACUCAUUCUUUUUACUCUUUUUUUUUUUUUUAUCGUAGGCUAGUUGAGUUCAAUUUCAAUUUUAUUUUGUUUCCUCUUCACCUUCCAUUAUUUUAUUUAUAACUCAACACAAUUUUUCUUGCCUUUUUCUUUUUAUUUAUAUAUUAUUUUAUUUUUGUCUUCUUAAACCAAAAUUUAACCACAAUUGUUAUUUUCACUCAUCUUUACACUAUGACACUUCCUUUCUUAUUUUAUACCAAAAUUACCUUGCUAAACACAAUAUCAUCCACUUUCUCUUCUCUUUCUUCCGAAAAGAAAAGAAAAGAAAAAGAAAAAUGACACUCCCGCUCCACAACUCUAGUAACACAUUUGACAAAUGUGAAUGAUCUUAUUAUAAUUUGCUUAUUUUUUUUAAAACAAAAUACUUAUGAGAGUAGUACAAAAUAAAGAAAUAAAUUUUGAAGCAAAUUUGUUCAUGCGCGUGCAUGUGGAUAACAAAACAACUCUAACUCAACCAUUUUUGGAUGUCUUGAAUUUUUAUAUAUAGAAUAUUUCACUAAAGCAUGGAUGUAUUCAACCUUAUUUUUGCGUGGAUGUUUAAUGCUUAAUCUUGUUAUAUGAUAUUAUUAAGAGAAAACAAAAGGACACCAUAAGGAAUGUCCCUUCUAGAACAUACAAUGCAUGUACACAACCCACGAUAACAUACACUUACAAAAAGAUGCUAAUUAAAAUAAGUUGCACUAAAAGAACACAAUUUUACAAAUAAAAAAAUGCUACAUAAAUGAAAAAAUUGAUAUACUAUUUAUAACAAAAAAUACCGAUAAUUUUUGGUAUUUUAGAAAUCUACCGGAGGUCCCAAACAACUCCCUUAAUUUUACUCAACCUUUUCAUACUAAUUGGGCAUAUUAACCCAAAAUAUUAUGUUAAAGUAUAAUUGGAUAUCUAAAGCCUUAUGUUUUUUUAUUUUUUAUAAGAGGAGCACAAAACAUUCUAUCAACCUUCUUUUCCUUUCUCUUCUCUUCUAUUUUUUUUUUAAUAUUUUGGGCGGGCAUGAGCUGUUAUAUUUUGGGCUUGCAUGAGCUGAAAAGCUCUGUCAUCUUUUCUCCUUAUCUUUUCGUUUCAUUACAAUUUUCUUACCAUGUGGGUCAUAGACCUUUAGUCACUAUUUUAUUCCCAUUUUGCUCUUUCUACAUUUUAGACCAUUGGAAUCCAUUCUAAAAAUAAUAAAGAAAAUUAUGAAUUAUAAUAAUAAUUUUUUUUGGGAUUCUAACCAAAAAUGACUUAAAUAACUCCUCUAUCCCAAAUAUUAAAAGAUGCUCUUACUUUAAAUUACACGUAUAAACUUAUUUCUUUUAGACUCGUACAAAAAUAAUAUAUCAAAAUAAAGCGCAAAAUUUAAUUAAAAAAAAUGAGAAUUUGAAAUUUAACAAGAGAUAAUUGUAGAUAUCUCAAUUAAGGAGGCACAUGCAUAUAUAGUUUUCUACAAUCAAAUGUAAAUCCAAGUGGUACACAUUGUCAAGUAUCUGACGUUGAGUUUCUCUGGCUUUGAAGGUAUUUUUUGAAUAUUCCAAGCAAAUGAUCCUUGUCGAUUACCUUGAGACAACGGGUGUUAGGCGCGGCAAACCUGCUUUUCUGAAGAAUUUCUUUGGCAGUUUAAAGAAAUUAGAAUUUGAUGGAGCCAUUAAAAGAGAGAUUGUAAUUCCAUCUCAUAUACUUCCUUACUUGAAGACCUUAGAAGAAUUGAAUGUACAUAGCUCCGAUGCUGUGCAGGUAAUAUUUGACGUAGAUGACACUGAUGCCAACACCAAGGGAAUGCUCCUUCCAUUGAAAUAUCUUACUUUAAAAGACUUGCCAAAUUUGAAAUGUGUAUGGAACAAAACCCCCCGAGGAAUUCUCAGCUUUCCCAAUUUGCUAGUAGUGUUUGUUACUAAAUGUAGAAGCUUGGCAACACUGUUCCCUUUGUCCCUUGCCAACAAUCUUGUAAAUCUUCAGACACUUACAGUACGGAGGUGUGACAAGUUGGUAGAAAUUGUUGGAAAUGAAGAUGCAAUGGAACAUGGAACAACUGAAAGAUUUGAAUUCCCUUCUUUGUGGAAUUUGCUUCUUUAUAAGCUGUCACUGCUUAGUUGCUUUUAUCCUGGAAAACACCAUCUGGAAUGCCCCCGUAUUAGAAUGCUUGGAUGUGUCCUACUGUCCUAAGUUGAAGCUAUUCACAUCAGAAUUUCAUAAUAGUCACAAAGAAGCAGUUAUAGAGCAACCUCUUUUCGUGGUUGAAAAGGUGACAAAUUAAAGCAAUAUCACUUUAACCUUUUUUGUUUUCUUUUCAUUAUAUAUAUUUUCCUUCUUCUGAGUUCUAACUGCCACCAUGCAUUUUCUUUUGAAUAAUUGAAAGGUUGAUCCCAAACUGAAGGAAUUGACACUCAAUGAAGAAAACAUCAUCUUGUUGAGGGAUGCACAUUUGCCGCAAGACUUCCUUUGCAAAUUAAAUAUUCUUGAUCUGUCCUUUGAUGAUUAUGAGAAUAAGAAAGAUACUUUGCCUUUUGAUUUCCUUCACAAGGUACCCAGUGUAGAAUGUCUUCGAGUGCAAAGAUGCUAUGGUCUCAAGGAGAUAUUUCCCUCUCAAAAGCUCCAAGUUCAUCACGGAAUACUUGCGCGAUUGAAUCAAUUAGAGUUAAACAAACUAAAAGAGUUGGAGUCGAUAGGGUUGGAGCACCCAUGGGUAAAGCCAUACUCUGCAAAGCUUGAAAUAUUAAAUAUUCGCAAAUGCUCUCGGUUAGAAAAAGUAGUGUCUUGUGCAGUAUCUUUCAUUAGUCUCAAAAAGUUGUAUUUGAGUGACUGUGAAAGGAUGGAGUAUUUAUUCACAUCUUCAACGGCCAAAAGUUUGGUGCAACUUAAGAUCCUAUAUAUAGAAAAAUGUGAAUCAAUAAAAGAAAUAGUAAGAAAAGAAGAUGAAAGCGAUGCUUCGGAAGAGAUCAUAUUUGGACGGCUCACAAAAUUAAGGUUGGAGUCCUUAGGAAGGCUAGUAAGGUUUUAUUCAGGGGAUGGCACCUUGCAAUUCUCAUGUUUGGAAGAAGCCACCAUAGCUGAAUGCCCCAAUAUGAAUACUUUCUCUGAAGGAUUCGUAAAUGCGCCAAUGUUUGAGGGGAUUAAAACUUCAACGGAGGAUUCUGAUUUAACAUUCCACCAUGAUCUCAACUCCACAAUCAAGAUGUUGUUUCACCAACAUGUAAGGAAUUCAUUAUCCAAAUUCAAUUGCUAUUUACUUGUUAUAAGUAAAUUAGUAUUUUAACACGUGCACUAUAUAAUUAAAAUAAUAAUUUUUUACAUAUAAAAAUUAUAUUAUAAUUAAAAUUUAUAUAAAAAUAUUUUAUACCUAAAAAUUAUAUUUUAAAUUUAUGAUAAAUAGUCUAUAUUUUAAUAUAUUUUUAUUAUUGAUUAUUGAAAAUUUUAAAAAAUAUAUUCAAAUAAAUUUAGAACUAAAGAUUUGGUCAAUUUCUUUUUGUUUGUCAUUACUUUUAGUUUCUAAAAAGAUUAAAAAUAAGAAAAAAGUUAAGGAACUAAAAUCAAUUAAAAAAAUUUAGAAAUUAAAAACAAAAACAUUAAAAAACAAAAUUUAGAAAUUUAGUUUGUCAUUACUUUUUGUAAGCUCAUCUUUUGCAUGUGUGUUUGACUGCUAUCAUCAUGAGAGCAGAGAUGUUGAUGCAUCAUGGGACGGAAUCUUCCACCUUAGGCUUUGUUGGGAAGGACUACUCUGAUGGAUCAUGCUGCUACUCUUCUCUUUCAUCUCAUCCCAGUGGUAUUGUCGUAGUAAUUAAUAGUUAUGGCCAGCCUGGGCAGUGGUUUAUGUUGUUAGCCCCACUCCUUGUUUUGGAUGUUUACAUGGAUUUUUAUGUAUUAUUUUUGGGCAGGCACAUAUAUUUUAUUUGCUAGUUUUCGUUCUUAUGUUUAGAGUUUGAAUCAUGUUGUUGGUUUUAUAUUGGUCAUGAAACUUAUGGCAUAUGUGUAGACUUACUUUAUGUACGUUUGAGGUUUAUUUGCAGAUGUGUAUGCAGUUGCUUCCUUAUGCGUAGGUAGUGUUCAUAUUUAAUUUAUACAGAAGCAAAAAAACUACCCAACUAUUUAUUAAAUAAAUUAGUUCAAAGAUUGUCCUUAAAAUUAAACCAUUCCAUUUUGAAAAUAGUUGUUGACGUGUUGCAAUAGUCAUCGGGUUGUUAAUUUAGGUUGUUAUAUACUAAACUACAUGAUUAGAAGGGAGGAUUUUAUUAAAAAUAAAAAAUUAUAUUUAUAAAAUUUUAAGAGAGAUUAAUCACCAGGAUGCAACACAUUUAUAACAUGAUCACCCCAAAAGUAUGCAGACUUCAUAAAAGUUUUUUCAAUAUUCUCUCUCAGAGUCACAAUUUUAUGUCUUAAAAUAUAUUUGUGAGGGUGGUUAAUUCGCUUUGUUUAGGUGAGCUUCAUCUAAAUAUGAUUGUUAACCGGAAAAUGAUCAAGUGUGACAAAACUUACUACUAAUCACGCUUCAUAAUUAAUUAAUUAUCUGCAUAAAAGGAUAGUGUUCCCUGAAAUCAUUUUUUUAGAGUAAAAACUUCAAUGUAUGGAAGGUUUGUUUUUCGACAAAGUCAAUUUUCAAUAGAAAAUGUUAUCCUCUAGAAAGAAAUCUGUUAAAAAUAAUAAAGGAGCCUUUUAAUGAAUUGAUCUUAUCCAAAUAUAUUUUGGAUUGAAUUUUAUCGAAUACAAAAGAUAGAAAAUUUUGCUAAGUGUUUCCAGAAAGAACUUUUCAACAAAAAUUGUUUACAAAGAACUUUUAAACAAGUGGCGCACACUUUUAAUAAGAAAUUGGAAGUUUAUAAACUUUUUCCAUUUAUCGCUCAUGUUGUUACACCUAUAUAUUGUUAUUGGUUUCAAAGUCACACCAUAUGUAUUCGUUUCACUCUUAAAGAAAUGUAUUUCUUUUUGUUUAAUUUACUGCACUUUUCCUCUUAAUCCUUAAACUUUUUAAAUUGUCAAAAUGAUAAAAAAAAAUGUUUUGUUUGAUAUAAACAUUCGCUUAAGCUGAAAAACUAUAAUUGUUUGUUCGAUGAAAAGAAACUUACAAUCGAAUUUUGGAUGUCUCACAAAUAAAUAAAAAAGUUAUUUAUUAAUACAAUCCAACGUGAAAGUUAUUAUAGUCAUAUAUAUAGGAAAUCUUUUCGAAAACAUUUUUAUGAUUUUCACGGUUAACAUCUUAUAAUAUAUUUAUUAUAGUAUUUGUUAAUUAUUAAAUAUAAUCUACAAUAAUAAGGAUAAAUAGUAUUAUUAAAUCUUAUAUUCUUUAAAACUAAUAAACAUGAUAUAUUAUAUUUGAACGCGUGACUUUUCAUAUAAAUCUAUAUAUACUAAAAAUCUAUCAUUAGAUAAAAAGUAAAUUUUAAAAUAAUUAAAAGAAAUUAUAUAUAAUAGGUUAAAGUAUUCUUUAAAAUUUUACUAUCUGCAUUAUUUUUUUAAAUACUUUUAAAGACUAUUAUUAAAUAUAUAAUUAAAAUAAAUCAAUUAUUUUUUAUAUUUAAAUUAAAAUAAAUAUUUUGAUAUAGAGCUUUAAAUUUUCAGAACAAUUCUUCAGUGAGAGUUGUUUUAGAAAUUUUUCUUCAACGAGGACGUUUUUAUGGAUUUUUUUAACCUCUUAUCAUUUAAACAUAUUCUUUCAUAUUUAUUUCAACAUUAAAUUUUAAUUUUUAAUUAAAGAUAUUAUUAGUAAAAAAAUAAUUUUGUAUUGCAAUUUAAAUGAUUUAUUAUACAAAUUUAAAAUAUAAUUUAUAUGUUCAAAAAUAUUUAUUCAUUAUGUCUUUAAUGAUAAGAUUUUUUAUAAAUUAUAAAAUUUAUUUAUUAUAAAUUUUAAUUAGAUAAAGAACAUAUUUUAUCAUGUGAAUUGCACAGGGAGUAUCUUAUUUUUAAUUUCUACUCUUAAUCAUUUGACAAAUUAUUAUAUUUAAUAAACACAGUACUUAAUGUUAUUGAAAAUUUAGAUUUAAUUUAAUAUAUUAAAAUGUAUCACAGAAUGAUUUUAGCUUUAAAAUGUAUCAUAAAGCCAUGUAGUAGACCUUGCAUUUUAUUCUUUCAGUCGUUUCCUUAUAUAUAUUCAAUGCUCAUCUACCUUGAGUCAGCCAUCAAUCUUUCGAAGACAAAAUCCAAGACUAUUGAUCCACUCAAACUAAGAGUAAGAGAAUCCUUCAAUAAAAUUAUAUAAUGAUAAUCACCUUAUAACAUUACCUUAUAAAACGUUUUGGGUGCACCUUUGUUGUGCGACGUAAAAACAAUAGACCGAAUUCUAUGCUCUAAUCACACUAAUUGUAUCACAAUUGUUCCAGUAUAGCUUCCAUGCUAGGUUUUUCGACAAUGUGUUUUUGGUUGGAACAAAUUGUCAGGAGGUUGAGUGGUGUGGGAGGAGAGUGGUUUUCGAAAUGUAGAAGCGUGUAUUUUUUCGAAAAAGAUUUAAAUUGGGGAAGAAAGAGAAAAUGAGAGUGUGUUUUAUAAGGUAGUUUGAGGUGGAGUGUCUUUUUUCUUUUUCCGAGAAGAAAUAGAAGAGAGAGAUGAGAUAAUGUGUUUAAUGGGUAGUUUCAGUAUAAAAAAUGAGAAAGAAAGUGGAUUAAUAUAAAAGGGGAGUGAAAAUAGCAAUUACCAACUUAACAAAUCUUUUAGGCUUUUUUUUUCUUUUAUUUCUAUUCUUUAAUUUUAUUCUACCUUUUCAUACUGAUUGCGCAUAUUAGCCCAAAAUAUUAGUUGAAUAUCCAUACCCUUAUGUAUUUUAUUCUUUAUAAGAGGAUCCCAAAACAUUCUAUCAGCCUGCUAUUCCAUCUUUUCUUUUCUCUCUUCUAUUUUUUUGGGGGGAUUGCAUGAGCUGAAAAAGCUCUGUCAACUUUUCUCCUGAUCUUUACAAUUCAUUAUCAUUUUCUUUUUUUCUUUUUUUCAUUCUUGAGCCAUAUGGGUCAAAGACCUUUAGCCACUAUUUUAUUCCUAUUAGCUCUUUCUACAUUUUACACCAUUGGAAUCCAUUCUAAAAAUAAUAAAGAAAAUUAUGAAUUAUAAUAAUAAAAUUUUUGGGAUUCUAACCAAAAAUGACUUAAAUAACUCCUCUACCACAAAUAUUAAAAGAUGCUCUUACUUUAAAUUACAUGUAUAAACUGAUUUCGAUUAGACUGGUACAAGAACAAUAUAUCAAACUAAAGCGCAAAAUUUAAUUAAAAAACAAAAAUGAGAUAAAUAAAUUGUAAAUUGUUUGUUUUGCAAAAAAAAAUGGAAUACUUUUGUGGGGAGUCACCCCAACAUUUAUUCAAGGAAAACGUCGAAAAAAUAAAAAAAAAAAGAUAAGGAAUGGUCUACGGUUUAAGAAAAAGGAUUCGAGAGUUGUUUACGCAUAGAGAAAAUGUUCAGCCGCUUGUCAUGAAAACGACAUCCUUUAUUCGAAUGCGCUACAAAAUAAAGUGACUUUUAAUUAUUUAUCUUCCCUUGAAAACAUAAAUUAUAUUUUUUUUUCAUUUAGAAAAGGAAAUCAAAUUUUUAUUAUUAAAAAGUUAUUUUUUUAGUUUUUUUUGUCGAUAAGGGAUUUGACCUCGCUCUUACGUAUCCCGAGGUGCAAUAAGGAAAUCAGACUUACAUAGUUCUUUGUAUUGUGAAAGAUUUUGAUUUUGUGGUAAACUUUGUGAACUCAAACAAGUCGAAGACCCAACAUGUCAUCCACAAAAUUUACUCACACUCUAUUGAAACACUACCAAGCAAGUCAGAGAUCCAGCAUGAAGUGCAUAUAACAUGGAAGGAUUAUUUAUUUGAGAAUGUUACCAUUUUUUUUGAAAAUAUUUUAGUUUUGUGGUAAAAUUUGCGAACUCAAGCAAUUCAGAGACCCACCAUAUCAUCCACAAAAUUUACGUACACGUUAUUGAAAUACUGCCAAGCAAGUCGGAGACCCAGCAUGGAGCGCAUGGAACGUAAACAAGUACUAAAUAAUACUAAUGCGGAUUUACAAAAAUAAAUAAAUAUUUUGACAUAGUACUACGAAAUUAGGUAAAUAUAAUGGAAAUGAAUUGAAUAGAAAUGGGGAGUAUAUUUAAGGGUGUGGGGUUGAAACAUGGGAAAAAUAAGAUGAAUAACAAGAUAUUUAUAAUAUAAAUAUUAAUUAAACUAACUAACAAAUUAUGAUAAAAAACAUUGAAGAAUAAACGAUAGAGACAAUAAAAAAAAUAAAACAAAAGCUAUUUACUAAUAUGUAUAAUUAUUUUUAUUUUUUGUUUUUUUAUCAAAUUCAAAGGGUUGACUUAGACUUAGGCAACACUAAUGAAGUGUUGACAUGACAGGGCUAGUCACCAUCCUAGGUGGCAUGAGUGCACAUAUAAAACAAGGGGUAUAACCAUUAAUUUUAUUUUAUUUCAGACAUCACAAAAAAAAGGACUAGCCCAAAACGAAAAAACGAAUAUGUUAGAAAAGAGGUGUAAAUAGUAAAGUUCAUUUUAUGCCAAACUUCACAAGAAAUGGGCUAGGCCCAAAACCAGAAUGGUGCAUGUAUUAAAUACAGAGUGUGAAUAACGUUUUCAUUUUAUUUCAUAUUAUUCACAAAAAUGGACUAGGCCCAAAAUAAAAAAAGGGGUGCAUUAAAAAAAAGUGGUCUAAACAAUGUUUAUAUUUUAUUUCAGGUUUUGCAAAAGUGGGUUGGGCCCAAAAUGGAAAAAAAAACAUGCAGGUAUGAAUAACGAGGUCUAAAUAACGUUUGUAUUUCAUUUCAGGUUUUCCAAAAGUGGGCUAGGACCAAAAUGUAAAGAAGAGGUGCUUCUCUAAAAUACAAGGUGUAAAUAGUAUCUCUAUUUUAUUUUCAGGUAUUGCAUAAGUGGGCUAGGCCCAAAACGCAAAGAAGAGGUGCAUCUGUGAAGAACGGGGUGUAAAUAACAUUUCUAUUUUAUUUCAGGUUUUGCAAAAAUGGGCUAGACCUAAAAAGGACAUAGAAAUUGUUUUUUUUUUACGUUUUUAUUUUUUUAAAGGGUUGGGUUGAAAGUGGGUCGGGGCGACCCGACCCAACCCGCAAUUAAGCAAUUGGGUUACAAAAUCCUAAUUGCCUCGUGCAAAAAAUGGCACGGCUAACACGAAAGCCACCACGGAGGGUGGCGCAUUGUCCAUGGCACCACUGGUGCAAAGUCCAGUGGUGCGAGGCUGCUGCAGGGCCGACAGUGGCAAGACAACGAUGGUGGUGGAAAUCUCACAAUGGUCCAAACAAAUAAUAAAAAAGAAAAAGAAACCAAAAUGCAAGUGAUAGGGCCCUUAACACCAUUGGCAAAGGACCCAUAGGCACGAAGCUACCACAUGAUAGUGGCAUAGACAAAGUCAUUGCAGCUUCACCACAUUUGGAAAUAAAAAAAGAAAAAUAAAAAAAUAAUAAGCAACUGAACAGUCAAACCAAAUAAAAGGGUAAGAAGAAAAUAAACAAAACAGUAUGCAUAAACCUUGUCAGAGGCCAUGGUAAGGUCACCGUGGAAGGUGACGUAGUGCUGUGAUAUGAAAGAAGAAGAAGAAGAAAGAAAGAAAGAAAGCAAGAAAGAGACUCAAAAUGCGUAAAGUGGGGAAGAAUGAGGGGUUAUCUGAUGACCCUUCUUCUUGUCAAAUGGCACCACCAGAUAGGUCUUUUUUUCCUUCUCGCGAUCCGCACUGCUAUCCUUUGGAGUUUCAUUCUUUUCCUUUUUAGGUUGAGUACCUUCUUCUUGAUCUAAUGGGCUCUCCAUGAAAGCCUAGGUCACAAAAAGUUUUUUUUUUUAAUUUUACUUUUCUCACUCUUUUCUUUUUUGUUUUUUUAUCAUGUUUUCUUCUCUUUUUUUCUUAUUUUUUUAGGAUUCAUUUUUUUUCUUUUUUUUCUUCUUUUUUUUUCAUUUUUAUAGUUUUUUUCAUCAUUCAUUUUUUUUACAUUGUCUUCUUCUUUUUUUUUUUUUUACUUUUUUUGCUUUUCUCUAUUUUUUCUUUCUUUUUUUAUCUCUUUUUUUUCUGCCCAUUCAUUAUUUUGUUAUUUUCUUUUUCUUUUUCUUAUUUUUAUUUUUUAAAUGUUUUCUUCCUUUUUUUUUCAACUUUAUUAUUUUUCUUUUUCUUUUCUUUUUUUCUUUUGAACCCAAACAAAAUUAGGGUCGGUCGAGUUCAAAUUGAUAUUAAAUGUCCAAAAUAACUGAUGUUAAAAACAAUUUUUCUAGUAGUAAAGAGCAAAAAUUAGUUGAGUUUGUGUAAUAAAAAUAAAAGUGUUGAUUAGUGUGGUGAAUUAACGUUGAGGAUCUACAUGAGAGCAAAAGUGAGGAUCACCAAUGUGAUGCAAUGAUAGAGGACUAUCCAAGGAGGAAGAGUUUGACUUGGGUGGGGCUCAACAUGGAUGGAUGAAUCACUUGAGCAAGGAAUAAGAGAUUUCAAAAAGAGUUUGACAAAAUACUAAAUUCUCCCUAUUAAAUUAUAUUUUGGGCCCUGCUUUCACAACAAGCUCCAAAGACUAAUUGAAGGAAAUAUGAGUGUGCAUGAAUAUUACAAAGAGAUGGAGAUUUCCUUAAUUAGGGCUCAAAUUGAGGAGUCUCAAGAGGACAUCAUGGCAAGGUUUCUGCAUGGUCUUAAUAGGGAGAUCCAAGACAUUGUAGAAUUGCACCAUUAUGCCUCUUUGGAGGAUCUCAUUCAUCAAACUAUCAAAGUGAAGUAGCAAUUAAAGAGGAAGCAAAUACACAAGAAGUCUCCUUAUGGCUCUUCAAUUUAGAAGGAUAAGGAGACAUUCAAGAAGGAAGGAGGGUCUUCAUUCAUAUAUCAUGAGAAAAUUGUUUCACUUAGUAUAAAUAAUUCUAACCCUACUCUCACUUCUUCAAAAACGAGUUAUAUUAAAUGUUUUAUGUGUUUGGGAAAGGGUCACAUUGUUUCACAAUGUCCUAACAAAAGGACUAUGGUUGUGUUAGGUAAUGGGAAUAUCAUCAGCGCAUCUUCUUCUAGCUCUUCUAGUUCUUAUAGUGAGAGUGAAAGUGAAUGUGAUGUAUAACCCCUGGAAGGUGAUCUUUUGAUGGUUAGGAGGUUAAUGGGUAGUGUGUGUAAGGAUAGAGAUGAAACUCGAAAGGAGAACAUUUUUCAUACUAGGUGCAUGGUCAUGGGGAAAAUAUGCUCUUUGAUUAUUGAUGGGGUAGUUGCACUAAUGCAGCUACCCAAAGAUUGAUUGAAAAUCUUGCUUUGAAAAUAUCCAUUCACCCUAGGCCUUACAAACUACAAUGGUUGAGUUAGAAUAGGGAGCUAGUUGUAGACAUACAAGUUUUGAUAUGCUUCUCCAUUGAAAAAUAUGUUGAUGAGAUAUUGUUUGAUGUUGUCCCUAUGGAGGCUAACCAUCUUUUACUUGGAAGGUCUUGGCAGUAUGAUAGAGAUGUUGUCCAUAAUGGUGUCACAAACAAAUUUUCAUUUGUGCACAAAGGGAAAAAGGUUACGACACACCUUUGUUUCUAAGUGAGGUUUAUGAGGAUCAAAUAAAAAUAAGAGUGAAAAAAGAACAAGAAAGAGAAGAAGAGAAAAAUUUGUAAAAAAAGAUGAAAAUAAAAAAGAAAGAAAAAUACAGGUUUUGUUCAUGAGUGAAAAAAGAGAUGAAGAGAGUGAUGCUAGCCAGACAACCUAUGUAUUUACUAAUGCCUCAUGAUUAUUGUUGGUAUUCUAUUGCUAGUUCUUUGCCUAUAGGCAUGGAAGAAUUACUGAAGGAGUUUAAGGAUGUCUUCCCCAAAUACACCCCUUUUGAUUUGUUACCUUUUCUUAACACUUCUGCUAUGAUGAAUAGGGAUGGGCUUUCUAAAGUCAAUUUUGUUAAGAGUUUGCAUGAGAAGGUGAAAGCACAAAUUGAGAAAAGGUUGAACAUAUGUGCUAAGUAUGCCAAUACAAGGAGAAAGAAAAUGGUUUUCAAACUUGGUGAUUGGGUUUGGAUUCACUUAAGGAAGAAUAAGUUUACUUCCAAAAAAAAAUCUACACUUCAAGAAAGGAGAGAUGGUCAUUUUUAAGUUUUUGAAUGCAUAAACUAUAAUGCAUAAAAAAAUUAGUUUACUAAUAGACUGUGGGGUGAGCAAUACUUUUAAUGUUAGUGACCUGACUCUUUGUGAUGUAGGUACCUUUGACAACAAAUCUAGGCAAAUUUUUUGUAAUAAGGGAAUGAUAGAGGAUUAUCCAAGGAGGAAAAGUUUGACUUGAGUGGGCUCAACAUGGAUGGAUCAAUAACUUAAGCAAGGAGUAAGAGAUUUCAAGAAGAACUUAACGAGAGAAUAAAUUCUUUCGUAAAAUUUAGCCAACUUUUAGGAUAUUAUUUUAUUUUUGUUUUGAAUUGUAUUUUGAGUUGUAAUGGGUUGUCACAACCUUUUAUUGUUAUUUUUAAAUCUUUUAAUUAUUAGAUUGGUCAUUGGACCUUGAACCUAAUUUAGGGUUAUUAGUAGGAGUGUAAAUAGACUCCUUAAAACAAUUUGUUAGUGGCUUUCAAUGAAAUUUCAUAUUAGAUACAUUUAAGAGAGUGUACUCUUAGCUCUUGUGUGAAAUCGUAGGUUAUCAUAUAAUUUUAUUCUUUAUGAGAAUUAUUCUCAAUUUAUCAAUGUUACAAUAUUGUGGCGUUAUUUUUUCUAUCUUUUUUUUUAAUUCUAUUUUUUUUUCUCUUUAUUCUCUCAAAUUUUAGAAAAUAUCAAAUAAAUUUUUUAAUUUAUUGAUGUUAAAAAUUAGAUCCAUAAAAUUAGGAUUCCAUCAAUGCACUGCAAAUAAAGAAACGAAAUAAUGAGAAAGGAAGGUUCAAUGGAAUGGGAGUUGUGAUAUUCAAAAGAGAGAAAAAAAUAUCCAUGGAAAGUGAUUGUGUACACAACGUGAAUCAUGCUGUGGUUCGAUGGAUGAGGUUUUUGUUUUUUUUUUUUCAAAGACAAACGAACAAAGAGUUAGUGCUUGUGAGGUAAUAAGUGUGUGUUUUUGGGAGGAGUGAUAAUGUGAGUGUAAUCGUUGCACGCGGAAAAUAAUGUUCCUGGGCCCUAGAGUAGAUUAAAGUAAGUGUAUUAUGGGAAAGAGAGAGUGGUUGCAGCGUGGUGGUAAGAUAUGCGGCAAAAACACUAAAAGGAGGCACUUUUACAAAUUAUUUACCAAAAAGGGGCUCUUUUGCAAUUAUUUACCUAGGGGGGUCUGUCUUUUUAUUACAAAGCGUCCCCCAGCCAGGCGCUUCCAUGGAUUACGCGACACGUGGCACCGGCACGGCGCACGAGGGAGCAGCAGGGUAGCGCCCCUGACGCGGGCGCGUCUAGUAGCGCCCUGCCACUGGGCGCGACUGGUGGCGCCCCUGCUGCAGGCGCAACCCCAGGCGCCUAGGGAACAGGCUCAUGCCCCCCCCACACCCCCCAGCCUCUUCCCACACCCCCUGGUCUGUUUUUGUCACACCCCUCAGUCUCUUCUUCUCACACCCCCCAGCCUCUUCCCACACCCCCAUCCCAAAAUUGUAUAUUUUUUAAUUUGUUUAUCAAAAUUUUAAAUUUUGUUUCAUUUUUGUUAUUAGUAUUAUUUGUUAUUUUUUUAUAUUCCCACACCCCCACACCCCCACCCCAAAAUUUCAAUAAGAUUAUUUUUUAUACACUCUAAAUUGUAUAUUUUUCAAUAAUCCUGAUAGGGCAGCUAGAAAUUGGAAUCGGCCAUGUGGGACUUCGUCGCGGCAUCACAGACAUAGUGAUGAUCGAUUAAUAAUGAGUUUACAUUUUUUCCGCAUGGUUUAACAUUUUCAUGUACUUUGUAUUAUUUUUUUUCAUGUGUUUCAUAUUGUCAUAUACUUUGUAUGAUUUUUUUUCAUGUUAAUUUUAUAUUAUUGUCACUACAACAUUUCAAUCUUAUUGUGCAAUACUUUUAAAAUAAAUAAAAAUAAAUAACUAUAAUGUUAAUGACACAUAAUGACGCGACUAGGUUCAAUUACAUAUUGGGUAGUUAAGUGUUUCACUAAUGUGUAUCACAUUACGUGCUGCUUUUGAGGUUAGUGUUAUGGCUUUUGGGUGUCUUGGACUAUAUGACAGGUGCUGAAGGUUGGUUUUGUUUUCACUAUACAGAGCUUAUACAUAUUGCUGAUUUCUCAUGUUUUUGUGUUAGGCAUGAGCAUUCUUUGUACUUGAGUCUAGUGUCCUGUAUCCUUAAUGAAUUAAUUGGCUUAUAUAAAAUAAUUUAAUAGAAAUGAUGAUAAAAAGAGAAGAAAAAAAAAUGGAGGACAAUUUUAUAAAUUUUAGAUCAAAAGAAAUUUAUGUAUGUAUGAUCAUUAUAUACACAGGGUCAUCGUAUUCAAUAACGGUCAUUUGUAUACAAAGUGAAGAUUCACCCUGUCCUUCUCAUUUUUUCUGCUCUGUCUGCUCAUCACACACGCUAUCUCUUAAUUUUCCUCUUCUCUCUCCUUUCACACGUUGUCUUUUUUCUUUUUUUUUUUUUCUCCCUCUCACAUGUUUUUUCUUUUUUUCUUCUUCUUCUGCCGCGGCCCACCUCCUUUCCCUCCGCUGCAACCCACUCCCUUCCUCAAAUCUUGGCAAACAUUUUUAGUGAGAAAUAUAAUGAAAAUCUGAUUUUGAACUCAAAAUUCUUAUUCAAAAUCAAACACUAACGAAGCUCUUAUUAGCUUGAGGGAAGGAAAAAUUAGCAAAAAAAGUACUUACUGUUGCGAUAAGUUAGACGCAUUUUAAGCAGAGUGGGUCAUUUUGUGUCUCGCAAAUAUCACCGGAUGGUGAUGAAUAGUCUCCAUCAAUGGUGUCCUGUCAGUUCUGUAGCCAAAAGCAGUCAGACAAAGGCUAUUAGACGAGAAGGAGCUAUCAUUCUUCGUCUAAAGCUUCAAAAGGACACUGAUGCAUUCAGACUAGAGAGAGAGAAGGAAGCGACCAAAAGGGUAUAUAUGGUGAAAGGUAACUUGCUUGGGGGCUUCAAGGCCUUUGUCAGUUUUAACUUUUACUUAAAACAUUGUUUUUCCUUCAAAGUGGAUGAAGUUUAUUUAAAAAUUGAAUUAUAUAAUCUCUAUAUAGUUGCAAUUUAAAUACGCAGCAUUACAUUAUACCUUUCAUCUGACAAACCAGAUGCAAAACUUUGUUAUCUCGUUGGUCGGAAUAAUACUAGAAUAAUGUGAGAAUAAUCAUCCGUGCAAUCCAUUUGUUUAUGGGAUGUUGUAUUGGUCGGGUAAAUGGCUUAAAAAAAUGAAAAACAUGCGCGAUUUCGUCAUCACGAGAAAAAAAAAAGAAUUUUGGUGAUAUAUAUAUAUAUAUAUAAACAAUUUAAGUAUUUUCGAAAUUUAAUACAAAAUUUAUUAAUAACCUAUAUUUAUUAUAACGAUAUGUGUGUUUUGCAGCUGUUUGAUUUUGCUGACAAGUAUAGGGUUCUUACUCGGUUCUUGUCCAUAUAUUCUAUUGCUACUCAGGUUACCAGGUAAUAGACAAAGAUACUGUUCCUGCUUAAACAUUUAAACCCUAAUUAAAUAUUUUUUCAUAGAUCAUUAAUUCACUAGCUAAGGCCUAUAUUUCGAAUUUUAUGCACAAAAGGAUGAACUGUUAUGGGCUGCUUCUUGGCUAUAUAAGGCUAGUGGAGAAAGCAAGUACUUGAGUUAAAUUAAUACCCAGUUAACUAUAUACAGUGUAACAAAAUUCUUUUAUUUAUAUAUCUUUAGUUUGAAGGUUAUAAUUCUAAUCCGUUUCUAUUUCUUUUCUCCAGGAAUAUUCUAUGGAGGGAAGAAAGAUUUAAGAGUGACAUUGAAUCAUUUAUGUGUUCAAUGAUGUAAACAAGCAGCUCUCUACAUAUUAAAACAACUCCUGAUAUAUAUAUAUGUAUAUGUAUUAUUAACUAACAAUUUUAUUAUUUUUUAUUAUAUAUUAAUAUUAAUUAGAGAUACAUGCAUGGUAUUAUUGGUGGAAAAGAUAAAUAUUUUUUUUAUCGAUAAAUAAACUGAUUUGUUAGUUUUAUUUGUUUUAUAAGAGAUUAAAUCCGUGAUAUUUUUUUAAAAGAGAGAGAAAAAUAAUCCAUGAAAAGUGAUUGUGACUGCAACGUGAAUCAUGCUUUGGUUCAAUGGAUGAGGUUUUAUUCCCCCCCCCUAAAAAACAAACAAAGAGUUAGUGCUUGCGAGGUACUUAGUGGGUGUUUUUGGGAUGAGUGAUAAUGUGACUGUGAUCAUUGCACGUGGAGAAUAAUUGUACCUGGGCCCUAUAGUAGAUGACAAGAAAGAUUAAAAUAAGUGUAUUAUUGGAAAGAGAGAGAGUGGCUGCAGCGUGGUUGAAUGAUGAUAUUUUAAAUUAAUAAAGGCAUUGAUUUUUCUUUUAUUAUUUUAAUUUAAUUACAUUUUAGAUUUUUUAGAUAUCUUAAUUGUACUAUUUUAAUUACCUCUUAUUAUCAUAAUUAUGCAAUUUUGAUAUCUUUGUCGACUUUUUUUAUAUCUAAUAAUUUUUAUUGAAAUAUAUCAAUAUGAUAAUGAUGUGAUUAACAAGUGAUAGAUCUAACAUAUAUCAGGAUGUGGUGACUUAAUUUUACUUUUCUUCCAUUUACUAAAAGUUUAAUUAAUGUGAGUACAUGUUUACCUUAGACAUCAACACGUUAUAUAUAACACCCCUUGUCACACUUACUACUAAAAUGAUAAGUUAAUUGCACUUUUAUGUUACUACUAAUUCAUUUUGUAGGCUUGUUAGACUAACGUGUGAGCUCACUUUUUUGUGGACCAUUUUUCCUACAAAAAGUUAUGUAGGAAAUUAUAACUUUAAUGAGAAAAAUUACUUUGUCAAAAGAAAUUAAUUUAUAUUUUUAAAGAAACUUAAAAAAACCAAUCUAUUGAUUAAUGUAGAGCUGAAAAUUAUAUUAAUGAACAUAUUUUAGGAAAUAAUAUAUAAAAAAAUUCAAAUAAAAAAUAUUAAACUCAAUUAUAUAUUGUAAAUAUUUUUGCUUAAACAUUUUAUAAGAAUCAGAAAUUUACUGUCAUGUGCGUACAUAGCAAUAAUAUUAUGUAAGAUCAAGUGCAGCAUACUCGUAACCGUACCACGCCGAAGCAUAAUGUGAGUUAUGCGAUUAGAUUCAAUUUCAUAUUGGGUAGUUAAGUGUUUCACUAAUGUGUAUCACGUUACGUGCUGCUUUUGAGGUUAGUGUUAUGGCUUUUGGGUGUCUUGGACUAUAUGAUAUGUGCUGAAGGUUGGUUUUGUUUUCACUAUAUAUGUAGAGCUUUUAUAUAUUGCUGAUUUCUCAUGUUUUUGUGUUAGGCAUGAGCAAUCUUGGUACUUGAGAUAUAGUGUCUUUUAUCCUUAAUGAAUAUUAAUUGGCUUAUAAAAAAAAGAGAGAGGAUGAAGAACGUAUAUUAUUACAGAAGUAAAACUGUAGAGAUCGAAUCUAUAACUAACUAAAAAUGACCCCAAACAAUGAGGAAUACAAAAUUUAGGUCAACUUAACUGGACAGAACAGCUUAAAAAAAAAUACUAAAACCUAAAUUUAUACAUUAUAUGCAGUUAGUACCAUAUAUAGCACUGUUCCCUCCAUCUGUUAUUUCGAUGUUGUGGAAUCCCACUUAACCUAAAAACAAAUUAAAAGAAUAAUUACGUAAGUUUAACUAUUCUGUUUUGUUACAAGUAAAUAAAAGGACAUGAAAUCCGUAUAAAAAGACUGCUAUAUAGUCCUUCUAUUAGUAUAUAUACUAAGCUUUUUAUUUAUUUAUGACAGUUUUACGAUUGGGGAAUUGUCUCCCUUUGGUAUGCAAAAUACAGAAGUAUCCUUUCAACAUAUUUUUGAAAUGGAUACAUUGUUAGUUUUAUUUUUAUUUUAUAUCUUGUGAAUUGGAGUAAACUUUUCAUUUUUGUAGUGUUCCAUUUAAUCAACGUUUUUAACAUCAAUCUCAAGCAGUGUUUCAUAUAAAUGGAAAGGGGAAAUUACGCAAGCGAAAAUAUCAAACACGAUCAAUAUUUAUGCAAUGAUAGUGUUUGUUGGGACUUACCAAACAGGAAUGAGGAAGUGCCCAUGUUACAGUCAGUAAGACUAUAAUUGAACAGUCCAUGAGUACUUCACAAUAAAUUCCUGAAACAAAUAAGAGUGACUUGAGAAUAACUGAAACUACAUAUAAAGAUUCAGGUAGGUAAAAUAUAUAUUUAAUACUUUAUUUGCAUGCAAUUAGAGAAAGUUCAAUGCUAACUUGCUUGAUAAAUCUCAUUAAUUAGUUGGGAGACAAUUCGAAUUAUCAUGUAAUGACUGUAAUAUUGUUGAUUUGGACUUUUAAUAUUGAUAUUGAAACGUUAACGUUAAAAGUAAUAAUUAAUAUAAGUUUUAUUAAAAUUGAUGUAAAGAUAAAUCAUAUCAUAUUGAUUUUUAGAAAACUAAUAUCUUAUAAAAAAAUAACUAAAAAAUAUAAAAUAUGUAUAAAAUAAUAUUAAUUUCAUGAAAAAUCGAUAUUGCGUUUAAUUUACAACAUUAUUUUUUCUAAAAUUCUAUGUUGUUUUCUACUAUCCAGCACUCCGUUUCUAGAAAAAUUGAUGUUAGGUGAGCGAAAACAUCAGUUUUUAUAAUAAUUUCGAUGUUGUUGUUUGGAUUUUUUUUUAAAUAUCAUAUCUAUUUUUUUAUUACCCUAAAUUAACCUGUAAAUUAAAAAAUAAAACUAAUCAAGAUAAUUUUUAUGCAUUUUUCAGACAGAUCAUAAUAAUUGAAUAUUACCAUGAAUUAAAAGAAAUACUUAAAAUAAUAAAAGUCAAUACAUAAAAAUCAAUUUUGUAACCUAAUCUUAAUUAGCAACCAUUCUAAAAUACUUAAACACAUGGUUCAAUUUUAACUUUAAAAUAAUGGAUGAUAUAAUAAAAUAUAAGUUAAUUAAUAAGUAUAAAUAAUAAUAAUUAUAAAAAACUGAAUUACGUAAACAAUUAUCAAAACUUCUAACACUAUCAUUAAUUAAUGUGAAAAACAAGCUUCUGAUCUUCCCCAACUGCGAGAACUUGUUUAGUAUUAAUGUGCUAGCUUCUUUUUUUUUUUUUUUUUAUUGGAUUAAUUGAAUUCUUUGCUAGAAGAAUAACCUACCAAAUUGAUUUGAUUGAUAACUGAUUCCACAUUUCCCCCCUCAUGUUGUGUUUCGAAAAUUCCCAAAUUUUCCUAUUUAAUUCUUAAAAACUAAUGUAAUGUUAAAAAAUAUGAAAUUGCAAUUAGGUAUUUUUAAGAAAAAUAUGAAAAAGUUUUGAUAACAAUAAAAGUUUAAAGAUUGUAAUAAAGAAAAAGGUGCUGAUCUUUACAAAUAAUGAAGUUAAAAAUAUAUAUAAUUAAUUAAUGAUGUUUAAAGAUAGCAAAUCUAACAUUGAAACGUGCAGAAGAAAUUUAUUGAAUAAGUGUGCAAAAUUUAAAAAACUAAUAUCAAGUGUAAUUCAUGUUUUUUUAAAGGUAAAUGGAUAUUAUUAAUGGGAAUCAAUAUAAGAUAUAUAUCAAAUGAAAUGAUUUGGUACAACGGUCAAAGACUCCCCAAUCUAACAAUUAUCUGAAUAAGUAAAAGACAAAAACAACUAAAUAAUGAGCAAUUUUAUUGCCCCUUCUCUUAGGUAAUAGUAACAAACUAUCCACAUAAGACUUGGCAUCAACCUGCAACAAUCCUCCACCAGACCAUGAAACUAACUAUAUAUCCACAUAAGGCUCCUGCAUAUGCUAACUUGGUGCCAACAAAACAUCAACAUAUUUCGUAGCUGAAGCUAGGACAUUUCCUUGAGCAUCAUAGAGAAUUAAAUCCAAUCCAGUAUCCUUUCUAAUUGCAGCAUCAAAUUUGAUUUAAAUUUCCAUUUCAAUUUGAGGUUAAACUGUAACAAACAUUUCAAAAAUUGCAUCACUUCCUUCUUGUUCUUUAAUUACUUCAUUUCCUUUUUAGAUAAUCAACAUUUUAAUUUUCCCCAUCAAGUAAAGUGUAAAACUAAAUUCAUAAAAACAAACUCAAAAGAAAGAGACACAGAAAACAAAAUUCGCGUGACCAAAGGUUCUAGGUAUCUAGCUCAAUUUUCGCGUGACCAAAUCUUUUUUUAUAAAUGAAAGAUAUAUCAAUAAUUAGAAAAUUUAUAAAAUCCGCAUUACAAUCCGCACAACUACAACCACAAUUUAGAAUCAUGCACAACUACAAUUUCUUAAUUAAUUUCAAAACUAAUGAAUGUUAGAGAUGCCUAAGAAGAUAAUGUAGUGAUGAUAGUGAGGGAUCAUAUAGCCAAUCCAAUAUGGUCCUAUUCCUAUGAUCUCUUAUUUUACUUGGUCCUUAAUUUCUCUCCUUAUUUUGUUGGAUUUUCAUUAUGAUUGCUAUCUUUGGUUUUUUUUUUUUUUUUUUUUUUUCUGGUUUUCCCCCCUUCGAUCUGUUUUUAUUAAAUUUAUUGGCUCAUUUCAUAAUGUAAGUUGUUGUUUCGGUCAUAUAUAUAUAUAUAUAUAUAUAUAUAUAUAUAUAUAUAUAUAUAUAUAUAUAUAUAUAUAUACUUUUUUUACUUUUACUACUGUUGGACUUUAAAGAUGCAUAAUAAUUAAUUCCAAUUGCUUCCCAACUAAAGAAAUUUAUCGUGAUAGUAGUUUAUAUUUGUCUGAUUGCAUAUUUAAAAGAAGUAUUUAUAUUCUAACUGAAUCUUUUAUCAACUCACAUUUUUCUGUUUGUUCUGGGAAUCCAUCAGGCAGCACUCAUUAUUAUACAAUCAUAUAGACGACAAUAAACAUUGGGAAUUCUUCUUAGCAUCAUAUGGUAAGUUACAAUAUAUGCAUUAUUGCUUUCAUGCAUACUAUAAUUUUCACAAACCACCGUGUGUAAUAGAUAUUAUGAGUAAUACUGAUUAUGAAAGUUAAUUAAUUUAUUAUAUAUGAUGAUUUAUAUUAAAUAAUAUUAUAAAAUUAUUUUAUAACUUUUUUUCUUAUAAUAUUUCCAUUCUUAAAUAUGUAAUAAAUCCUCAUUUUUAAUUAGAAUUCUAUUGCAAUUUAAAUUAAUUUCAGUUUUUCUGAACUCAUUUUUUCUUAUUUUUUUUCAGGAAUUCAUUAUCUAGUACUCACGAACUGUUCAUUGUUUGGUAAGUUAUUACUAGAUUACCUGUUGCUGCAAAGCUGCAUUUUUAACGGCUUUCCUAUCAUUGCGAAAAUUAAUCGUGUUUGAAUCACUGCUUGAAAUUGAUGUAAAAAACGAUGCUUAAUUAUAAUGAAAUAAAAAAUGAUAAGUUAAUUUCCAAUAAUGCACAAAGUUCAAAGCUAACAAUGCAAUCUGUUUUUUAAAAUAUAUUUAAAAGAUACUUAUGCAUCUUGCAUAUCAAAAGGAGGAAAUGUCUCCCCAAUCGUGAAACUAUGUCAUCUUUCACUUUUCCAGUUAGAAAUGUUUUCUUAUUAAAAGAUAAAAAAGCCUUAGUAUAUAUUACAAGAAGCACUAUAUAUAUGGCAGCAGUCAUUUUUCUUUAUGGAUUAAUGUUCUUGUAUUUAUCGUAACAAAACAGAAUACUCAAAGUUACAUAAUUAUUCUUUGAUUUUGUUUUUAGGUUGAAUGGAACUCCAACAUCGAAAUAUUGGAUGGGGGAAACAAUCAUGGCAAUAUUAUGAAAUAAAGGUUUAUGUCAAGUCUUUUUUUUCAAGUGUUUUUGUGGAGUAAUGGUGACCUACAUUGUGAUGUAUAUUUUCUCUAUUAUUUGGUAUGACUUUUAGUCAGUUACAGAUCUUCUGUAGUUUUAUUUAAUUACAGAUACCAUGAAUAUAUAAUAUAAAUAAAUACAUAAAGCAUACGGGUAUAAAAUUGUAUAUUAAAUAGAAUGUUACAAUUUAAUAUUCAAAUAAUUAAAAAUAGUAUUUAGUUACCAAAAUUAUAUAUAAAUAGCAUUAAAAUUAAUAAUUCAGUUAUUCAUUAAAAAACAAUUAAGACUAUUAAAUUCAAUUGCCUCCAACAAGUAUUAUAAAGUGAAAAUUUCAAUCAAUGACUAGAAUAGAAUAACUUCAACUCCCCUGACUACAAGAAACAAAAAAACCAAAAGAACUCGAACUCUCCUUACAUAGAUAUAUACAUUUUUCAGACAGGAUGUGCUGAUCAUAUCAUUAAGAGAUGAAUACUAAAGAUCUUUCGGAGGUCAAUUUCUCAGAGCCGAAGAGCAGUUGUAGAGUUGGGGACCAACGUUCUAAUCAAUUCAUAGAACAAAAGAAUUAAAUACUGCUACAUAACCAUCCAAUUCCCUUAAACAUUACAAUUUCACACACCAAAAUAUUGCAGGAUUGCUUUACACUGCCCCUAAUCAGUUAUUAACACCCAUAAAGUUUAGGCUUUAAUUUCUUCCUUAAUUUGGCUUGUUCAGGCAGUUAACAUCUACCUAUUUUCUUUUCCAUCACCUUUCUACUUCAUUCUCUUCUCAUUCCUUUGUUUCUUUCCCAUCAUAUUAUUAUUAUAUGUCUUUCUCACUUUCUUUAUCUUCCUUUUCUUUUUUCUUUCUGUGCCUUAUUUUCUUCCUUCCCAGUAAACCCCAAAAUGGAAUGCAUCUUUGGCAUUUCCAAUUCCACAAUAAGUGGGAUAGGCUCCUUGUGAAAGCAGCUUCGUUGGAUGUCAAAGAAGCCAUCAAUAGGUUUAGUGCCUGACCAAAAUAGACAUAAGGAACGUCACCUCUAAAUUGACAAAAUGAAGACAAAGAUUGUUAAAUUAGACCAUUGAUAUGAAUCAAAAUUUCUUAAUCCAAUAUUGUGGCAGUGCAAAAGAACAAGUCGUUGGGAGUACUGAAUUGUGAAUAUUACCUGUGACUUCCUGAUUUCCACCAAAUGUUCCUCCAAAUCAUCCAACAACCGGUCAUUCUCCAUAAAUGGACAUGGAAUGCUUGAAGAAGUUGUCAUCGCUUUCACUUCCAGAUUAUCGCUAACAACAAAUAGACAUGGCCUCUUCAUAAAUCCCACAUCGGAUUUUCUUGCUCCAUCUGAAGAUCUUGGGUCCAAAAGUUUGAUAUCUUUUGGAUCUUUUAGCAUAUCUUUUUUCUUUGAAAUCAUAUUCUUUUCACAGAUGAUACGUCCCCUAUUAUCUUUCACUAUUCCAGUGCCAUACCAAUACUUGCCAGUGUCUUCUUCUGAAGCAUUUAUUGGAUUGCUCCCACAACCAAAAUGAAGAGCAACCUUUGGAUUAAGUAAGGAUUUGGUUGACGACGCUAUGAACCAUGAUGGAUCGAGAUUCUUCACACUUGUGUACAACUUAUCAAUGCUUCCCAAUGAUAACUUGCCAUUCACAAGGUACAUAAUAGAUCCAAGUGGCAUCGUGAGGAAGCUGACUAGAAAAUCGACAAAGUCUCCAUCUGCUUCAACAAACAGAAUCUUGUUCUGUGAUUUGCUCACUAUUACCUUGAUUUUUAUGGAAUCUUUCCAUCGACUUGGGCCAAUAUCUGGUAAGAAAGAGGACGAUGGCUCAGAUUUUCCGUUUUCCAAUGUGACACUUAGAGCAGAUUUGGAGGUUAAUGCUUGGUUUAGUAUGCUAAAUACCUGAGAAAAAGAAAACAGAAAACAAUUCAAAUUCUGAAGUUAUAAUUCAUUAAACAAGGAAGAUUAUCAGUUUUACAAGCUAAGGAACUCGAGGAAGCUAGGUUAUCAGUUUCACACAGUGGUAAAUGCAGGUCAGAAAAAUGUCUUGAAUUCAAUGUAUCUGAACUUUCUAGCACAAAACACUCAUUAUAGUCCCCUAAUGUUUUUUUCCCAUUGGCAUAAACUUAUGACUCUUAUAACUAUUUGUUUCACAAUAUAUAUUCAUGCUGAAGUCUAACUUACUAUUUUGUAAAAAUCUUUAUUUGACGAGAAAAAAUAAGGCAAAAUCUCCGUUCCCUAACUUCUGUCGGCCCAACUAAAAUAAUAUUGGGAGGAAUUUAUAUUUUCCAUUUCCAUCCUUCUAACCAAACAACUCGCAAGUACCACCUCAAAUGAAUAAAAAGAAAUAUUACCUUAUUUGUGUCAACAUCUAGAGAUUUUUCUUCCACCUUUCUGAAUUCUUUGUGUCCGAGUUGGAGUGGUGGUUUGAAGGAGACACUGGGAGAGCUACGGAGCACUGUCAAGUCAUCGAAGAUCAAGAACAUGGCGUCCCCUUUAACAAAAACACCAUUGCCACCAGCAGGCUCUACCAGCAUAUCUAGUUGUCUUUUCAUCAAGUUCCCACAGUGGCACUUUACCUCAUCAAAAGUACUCAGCGAGAAAUCACUGCCCUUUGAACAGAUGUGACACACGAAAUACUUUGUGGGCUGCGUAUCAUCCACCUUCAGUUUUAGUCUCUGGUAAGAGAAUUGUAACGGGUUGCGCGGAGAAAGCAACAUUCGCUUGCAGAUGUCGUUCCAGAAAACAUCUGGGUUCAGAGCUUCCACACUCUUGAAUAGAUUGUUAAUGCAACCAAUCUCUAUUGGUUGCCCAAAUGUGUUCCCAAGCCGGAUGAUAGUUCCCAAUGGAAGGGUUAGGAAACUAAAGAGAACAUCUACAAAGUGUCCACUUGCUUCCGCCAUAACUACACGCUUUCGUUCAUUGUCCACCCAAUAUCUCAAAGGGGCUGUUAUUUCUUGGUUGGAAGCCAUAACUGAAAACUUAAAUUAAAGAACUUUUAAUAUCAAAGAAGUAAAAUAACAUACACGGGUUUUAGUGAAAUUUCUGGCAUCUCAACCUCAAUUAUUGCUCGGGAUAAGGCACUUCCUAACUUUAUAUUUAUAGAAUUACUUGCGAGUCUAAUUUUAAGGGAUAGGCUAACAUGCUGAGAGAAGGGUUGUGCAAGUCCAUGGAAAUAAAGAAGCAGUAAAAAGAAAGGCAUGUUAGAUAUUAAUUAGAAAAAUAAUAAUAACAAGUUUUAUGAGGCUUAAAUUGUGGAAGAUGAAAGUUGUAAGGUUGUGAGUUACAAAGUCUUGAAUAAGCAAUUAUGUGAGCAUUUAGUAUUCUUGAAUAAGCAAAUUAUGUGAGUGGUCACUCUAUUUUAGUAUAAAUAGGGAUCAUACUCUUGUAUUUGGUGUGCCAAAUGAAAUAAAAUCUUCUUCUUCUUCCAACAAAGUAGCAUCAGAGCUUGAGUUCUAGAGUGUUGAGAGAGAAACACUUUGUGAGUUGAGAGAUGGCAAGCAAUGGCUUGAGUAUGUUUCAAUUCCCUCGUCUUACCAAAGAGAAUUAUGAUAAUUGGUGUCGUCGCAUGAAAGCCUUGUUAGGUUCUCAAGAUGCAUGGGAGAUUGUAGAGAAAGGUUAUGCCCAACCUCAAAAUGAGACUAUUUUGUCACCAAAUGAGAAGGAGACUUUGUUGAAGUCGAAGAAGAAGGAUUAACAAGCACUUACUUUCAUUCAUCAAGGUUUGGAUGAAGCUAUGUUCGAGUUGGUGUCAAAUGCAACCACAUCCAAAGAAGCAUGGGAGAUUUUGAAAACCUCCCUUGAAGGUGUUGAUAAGGUAAAAAAGGUGCGCCUACAAACUCUACGUAGAGAGUUUGAAUCAUUGCAUAUGAAGGAAUCUGAAUCUAUCUCAGAUUUUGGCAACAAGGUGUUGGCUAUUGUGAACCAAAUGAAGCGUUAUGGAGAAAAUAUGGAAGAUGUUCGUGUGGUGGAAAAGAUCCUUCGCUCCUUAAUCGCUAAAUUUGAUUAUGUGGUUUGUGCUAUUGAAGAGUCUAAGGAUUUAGACUCAAUAACCAUAGACCAAUUGAUGGGUUCUCUUCAAGCUUAUGAAGAAGGGUUCAAUAGAAGACAUGAUGAGCCAUUGGAGCAAGUCCUCAAAGCCAAAGCUUCUUUGAAAGAAAAUGGAGGAGAAAGUAGUCAAAAAGCACGUGGACGUGGAAGAGGACGUUGUCGUGGACGUGGUCAUGGCCAAGGAUGAGGAGGAAGAGGAGAUCGUGAUAAUUUUGACAAUAAUGAAUGGAGGAGCCAUCAAUCCACUAGAAGUCGUGGAAGAGGAAGAGGAAGAGGUAGAAACAAUUAUGAAAAAGCAUAUGAAAGGAGGUAUGAUAAAUCUAAUGUUGAAUGUUUUAAUUGUCAUAAAUAUGGCCAUUACUCUUGGGAGUGUAGAACAAAUGUUGAAGAGAAGGUCAAUCUUGUUGAUGAUAAAGAAGAAGUUGAAGAGUCAACACUACUACUAUCACUUAAUAAUGGUGAGAAGGAAGACAAAUGCUUAUGGUAUCUUGACAAUGGAGCAAGCAAUCACAUGUGUGUGUAACAUCCCAAUUUUUCGUAAAUAAAUUUAAAAAGUUUUUUAGUAAAAAAUAAAUAAAUAUAGAGCAAAUAAUAGGCUGAGUACCCUAGGUAUAAAUAGUUAUGUUAAGUCAGCUGCCUCCUUUUGGCCUCAUUUUCGUUUUUCCCCUUCUCCUCUCAAAACCCUUUCUUUUUCCCGCAGCCCACCAAAUCAGUCUCAGAAAAACGACGAUCUCGAACCCGUUCACCGUUGGAUCGUCGUGAAAUUUGAGUAUCAUGUUAGCAAUACAAUUCCGAGCAUUCUCACCGUUGGGAAUUUAGAUAUCAUGUCUGAACUGAGAGAAACACCCUUCGCAUUGUAGCCUUUUUCUUUCCCGCAGAAACCCAGAGCUGUCUUGGUAAAACUACGAUCCCGGUUUCGUUAACCGUUGGAUUAUUGUGAAAUUUGGAUAUGUUGUUCGAAAUUCAAUUCCGCACGCUUCCACCGUUGGGAUUUGCGAGAUAAUAUUCGUGGAGGGAGAAAAAGGAAUCGUAUGAAGACAGUACAAGUGGAGGUUUCAAUCUCUUCUCCGUCUCUCUGACGUUUGGGAAUUCUAUCGGAGCAGUUGGAUGAAUAAUUGAAAGAAUUUCCGGGAACCGCUAGAGAUGUUGCUAUCGCUGGCUGAAGACACGUGAGCCCGCUUAGAGGUAAGGGAUGAGUUAUUCACAAUUGGGGGUUACUGAGAACAUGUGUAGGGAUCCUUAGAGGAUUAAAUUGGGGUUUUAUUUUGAGAUGUUUAUUAAAUUACAAAUUUUCCUUUAUGAUUAUAAAUAAAAUAUUGAUGUCCUAAUGAAAAUUGUUUGAUAAAUUGUGCUCUUGAUAUUUAUAUAUUUUGACCUAUGAUUUUGAUAUAAGUGUGUAAUAUUAUUUGAGGGGUUUUAGUUCUCAUGUUGUGAUAGUCUUUUGUAUAAAUUGCUAUAUUGAGGAUAUGAAAUGAUGAUUCAAAUUGUGAGUAUGUGAUGAAUUGUGGAAUAACAUGUGCUUUGAGAUUAUAAUAUUGUUAUUGAGAUUGAGUAUAAGUGUAAAGUUGAACAUGUGUUAAUUUGUGAGAUACGUGAAAACAUGUGAUGGUGGAUUGUGACACUAUGAGAUGUGAAAUUGUGAAUGAGUUUUAGUUGUGGAUAAGUGUGUAGUUAACACUUGAUGUGAAAUUACUUGUGUUGUAAGCUAUGAAUUGUACAAUAACCCGACCAGUGUUAUCUUGAGAAAAGUGUAAAUGCGCAGUGUUAAAGAGAAAGUGUAGGUUUCCUAUUUAGGAACCAGUGUUAAAGAGAAAGUGUAGGUUCCUAUUUAGGAACCAGUGUUAAAUUGUAGCGCAAUAUGUUGUACGUGUUUAAGGCACGAGUGUGAGGUCGUGGGUAUUGCAUAAUUCACUAGCAGUGUCUGUGUGCUAAAAUGAUUUUAGGGGUUGGACCUGAAUCAGGAGGGAGAGGCCCUGACGGACUCUUCGGAGUAUAGGCCUUGGGGGUCAUCGGGUUUGAGUGCUCCUUUAAGCCUAUGCUGAUCCCAUAUGGUUGGAGCAUUCUCGCAAAACAUCGUGACCCUGACUGGUCUCCCUAUGAUCUUACUUAGUGAGAGUGACCUGACAAACUCAUUGUGUGGUGUGUCUUGUUAUGUACUCCUAAGCGCCCCAGGGUGGUUUUUCACUGACAUGGUAUCACAUUGCAUAUAGGCUUGAGUCUUAGCAUAACUGUCACAUACGCUUGCUAAUUGUUUAUUAUUAAAUUAAUGUGUUAUUAUGUCUUGAUCGGAGUGUGUGAUUCCUGUGUAUAAUGAUUGAUGAUUGAAAGGUGUGAUUGAUGAAUGACAAAGUGAUGAAAUAAUGUGAGAUAUGCUAAGUAAAUUGUAUUUGGCUACUAUAUGUUGUGUUGUUUCUCUCUAGUAGUUAGCAAUGUGAUAACUCACUCCCGGUUUGCUGUUUGUGUUUGGAUCCUGUGAUGAUCUUGAACUUUGUGUUCGGGGGAGCAGAUGAAUAGGUGGAUGACUAUGAAGAACCUCAUGCUAGAGGACACGGGAACAUCAUGCUCUGAUAGGAUGUGACAUUAGGAUAUAGGUUCUAUAUUAAUUGUAUGAGACUUAUAUGACUUUCUUUGAGUUGAGAUGACUUUAUUAUUUAUUUGGACAAGUUUGAAUAUGAUGUAGAAGAAAGUGAAUGUGAGCCUUUUACCCCUUUGAAAAGCUUGUAUUUAAAAAUGUUUUAAAAAUACUUUUAAUUAAUAUUUGAAUUUUCAUUCCUUUAUUAAUAUAUAUGUGAGGGGUAGAGGGUGUCACAUGUGGAUGCAAAGAGAAAUUUGUGGAACUUGAUAAGAAGGUGAAAGGAAAUGUUUCUUUUGGAGAUUCUUCCAAGGUGCAAAUCCAAGGAAAAGGUACCAUUUUAAUUUCUUUAAAAGAUGGUGCUCACAAAUUAAUCACGGAUGUUUACUAUGUUCCUAAACUAAAAAGCAAUAUUUUGAGUUUGGGACAACUUGUUGAAAAGGGGUAUGAAAUUCAUAUGAAAGAUUGUUGUUUAUGGCUUCGAGAUAAAAAUUCUAAUUUGAUUGCCAAGGUGUUUAUGUCAAGAAAUAGAAUGUUCACUUUGAACAUUAAAACCAAUGAAGCAAAAUGUUUGAAGGCUAGCAUAAAAGAUGAAUCAUGGUGUUGGCAUAUGAGAUUUGGGCACUUGAAUUUUGGAGCACUAAAAUCCUUAGGAGAGGAGAAGAUGGUGAAAGGGAUGCCUCAAAUCAACCAUCCUAAUCAAUUGUGUGAAGCAUGUCUCCUUGGAAAGCAUGCAAGAAGGAGUUUUCCAAAAGAAGCUAAUUCAAGAGCAAAGGAGCCUCUCCAACUUGUUUACACCGAUGUGUGUGGCCCAAUCAAUCCUCCUUCAUGUGGUAACAAUAAAUAUUUCUUGCUUUUUAUUGAUGAUUAUAGUAGAAAAACUUGGGUUUAUUUUCUAAAGCAAAAAUCUGAGGCAUUUGUAGCUUUUAAAAAUUUUAAAGCUCUUGUGGAAAAGGAGAGUGGUUAUGUAAUCAAAGCUUUAAGAUCCGAUAGAGGUGGCGAAUUCACAUCAAAAGAAUUUAAUGAAUUUUGUGAAAAAUAUGGGAUUCGUCGCCCUCUAACGGUUCCUAGAUCUCCACAACAAAAUGGGGUAGCUGAGAGAAAAAAUAGAACUAUUCUUAAUAUGACUAGAUGUAUGUUGAAGGCUAAAAAUAUGCCAAAGGAAUUUUGGGCCGAAGCUGUUGCAUGUGCCGUUUAUUUGUCCAAUCGCUCCCCAACAAAGAAUGUCAAAGAUCAAACACCACAAGAAGCAUGGAGUGGAGUGAAGCCAAGAGUUGAUCACUUGAGAGUAUUUGGGAGCAUUGCAUAUGCUCAUGUACCCGACCAAGGAAGAUUCAAGCUUGAUGAUCGGAGUGAGAAACAUGUGUUCAUUGGCUAUGAUGCAAGCUCAAAAGGCUACAAAUUGUACAAUCCAAACAAUGGAAAGACAAUUGUGAGCCGAGAUGUCGAGUUCUAUGAAGAAGGCACAUGGAAUUGGGAGGAGAAAGAAGACACUUAUGAUUUUUUCCCGUACUUUGAAGAAAUAGAUGAAGAAGCCUUGACUCCAAAUGAUUCAACUCCAGCACUUUCACCAACUCCUUCAACCAAUGAAGCCUCAUCAUCUUCCGAAGGGAGUUCAAGUGAAAGGCCAAGAAGAAUGAGAAAUAUUCAAGAAUUAUAUGAUGAAACUGAAGUUAUAAAUGAUUUGUUUUGUCUUUUUGUUGACAGUAAACCCUUAAACUUUGAUGAAGCAAUGAAAGACAAAAGGUGGAGACAAGCCAUGGAAGAAGAAAUCAAAGCCAUUGAGAAGAACAACACUUGGGAGUUAUCAAGCCUUCCCAAAGGUCAUGAAGCAAUUGGAGUCAAAUGGGUGUUCAAAAUCAAGAAGAAUGCAAAAGGAGAGGUUGAGAGACACAAAGCAAGACUUGUAGCUAAAGGUUAUAAGCAACAAUAUGAAGUUGAUUAUGAUGAAGUGUUUGCACCGGUUGCCCGCAUGGAAACCAUUCGUCUUCUUAUUUCCUUGGCAGCUCAAAUGAAGUGGAGAAUUUUUCAGUUUGAUGUAAAAUCGGCAUUUCUAAAUGGCUAUCUUGAAGAAGAUGUCUAUGUUGAACAACCAAUGGGUUUUGUCAUCGAAGGUCAAGAAGGAAAAGUCUUGAAAUUGAACAAGGCGUUGUAUGGUCUAAAGCAAGCACCGAGGGCAUGGAAUACCCACAUUGACAAGUACUUCCAAGACAAUGGGUUUGUUCAUUGUCAAAAUGAGUAUGCUCUUUAUGUUAAAACUUUUAAUAAUGGUGAUGUCUUAUUUAUUUGUCUUUAUGUGGAUGACCUUAUCUUUACCGGCAAUAACCCAAAUUUGUUUGAAGACUUCAAGGAGUCCAUGUCUCGUGAAUUUGAUAUGACAGAUAUGGGACUCAUGUCAUAUUACUUGGGAAUGGAAGUGAAGCAAACGCAGAAUGGUAUCUUUGUCUCACAAGAAAGGUACACAAAAGAAGUGUUGAAGAAAUUUAAUAUGCUUGAUUGCAAUCCUGUGAACACACCUAUGGAAGGUGGCUUGAAGUUAUCAAAGUUUGAUGAAGGAGAGAAGGUAGACUCCACGAUCUUCAAGAGUCUUGUGGGGAGUUUAAGGUAUCUAACCAAUACAAGGCCCGAUAUUCUAUAUGCGGUGGGAGUUGUGUGUCGCUUUAUGGAGGCUCCUACCUCUCCUCAUCUAAAAGCCGCAAAAAGAAUUCUUUGUUACUUGAAAGGUACAAUUGAUUUUGGAUUGUUUUAUUCUCCCUCCAAUAACUAUAAGCUUGUGGGAUUUUGUGAUAGUGAUUUUGCCGGAGAUGUUGAUGAUAGAAAAAGUACUACCGGAUUUGUAUUUUUUAUGGGUGAUUGUGUUUUUACAUGGAGUUCUAAGAAGCAAGGCAUUGUGACACUUUCUACUUGUGAAGCCGAGUAUGUAGCUGCAACUUCUUGCACAUGUCAUGCCAUUUGGCUAAGAAGAUUGUUGGAGGAACUUCAGUUGUUGCAAAAGGAAAGCACAAAGAUCUAUGUUGAUAAUAGAUCUGCACAAGAGCUUGCCAAGAAUCCGGUGUUCCAUGAACGAAGUAAGCAUAUAGAUACAAGGUAUCAUUUCAUUAGAGAGUGCAUUACCAAGAAAGAAGUAGAAUUGACUCAUGUGAAAACUCAAGAUCAAGUUGCGGAUAUUUUCACCAAGCCUCUCAAAUUUGAAGAUUUUCGAAGAUUGCGAGCAAGACUUGGUGUGCAGAAGAAUUUUCCAAUUAAGGGAGGAUGUUAGAUAUUAAUUAGAAAAAUAAUAAUAACAAGUUUUAUGAGGCUUAAAUUGUGGAAGAUGAAAGUUGUAAGGUUGUGAGUUACAAAGUCUUGAAUAAACAAUUAUGUGAGCAUUUAGUAUUCUUGAAUAAGCAAAUUAUGUGAGUGGUCACUCUAUUUUAGUAUAAAUAGGGGAUCAUACUCUUGUAUUUGGUGUGCCAAAUGAAAUAAAAUCUUCUUCUUCUUCCAACAAGGCAUGGUUUGAUUUUUUUAAAGAUUUAAACCAAAACAACUUAAUACUCGAUUGAUUAUCUAAAAAUAAUAUUUUUUGGAAGAUCAGUUUGAAAUUUUUACAAGUUACUUCUAAAUUGAUUUUGAAUUACAGAACAAUUUAGGGUGCAUUCGUGAUGAUUUUUAGUUCUUUUAACUCACUUUGAAAGUCUCUUAUUCUAUUAAAUUAGGUUAAGAGUGUAUUUAUAUCUUAGUGACAACAAUUGUAGUGAAGCUUAAUGAUGUAGAUUAUUUAUGAAAGUAAAAAGAUAUCCUUUCAGCACUUCUACAUAUUUAAUCUUACUUUGGAAUUAUUGAAGAAAUUUGAGAGUUUAAUUUAUGUUAAAUUCAUUGUGUAUAUUUGUAAGAGCACUUGGGUUGAUAAAAAGUAAUAAUAAUUUUAUAUUUACUUUGGUAGAUUUGAAGAAGUUAGCUUAUCAGAUCGAGUCUUUCAUUAUGGAAGAACAAGCUAAAUAUAUGUUUUAUGUUCAAGAUUUUUGUGAUGAAAAAUGAUAAGUGAUUUUGCCCAAAAUUGAUGUUGUAAGUACUAUUCAAUAUCCAUUUUGGCAUAAACUAAUAUUGUUUAUGCUUUUCUUUUUUGCUACUUGCUACUACUAUAUCACAUUCAUUUUUGGGAGAAUUGAUGUUAUAUAAUGAAUUUCAACAAUGAUUUUUACAAUUGAUGUUAAAAAUGAUCUACUUUUAACAUUGAUAGUUUCAACAUCAAUUUUGAAUUGAUGUUGAACAUUCAAAAUCACCUUUGUUAACAACAUUUCUUUUCUAGUAGUGCUUACUAAUUAUUUUAGGAGCUUAAAAGUUUAAUUUUUUAAUUUUAAUUUAUGCGAGUCAAUGUUUUUUUAAUUUUGGUUUGUGUAUAUUUUUUUUGUUUAUUUCUAAUACUUAAAAAUUUAUAUUUUUAAUUUUAAUCUCUUUAAGAUUAUAAUUUUUUUAUACUUAUAAUCCUAAAAAAUUUAAGAUUAAAAAAUUAAAAUUGAAAAAACAUAAAUUAAUAUAAAUUAAAAAUAAACAAAAUAUUUACCGGAACUAAAAUUAAAUACAAACUUACAUUACAUACUGUCAACUUUUUAUUGGUGAUUGGGAUAAGAAGUGUGUGGUGAUUUAAAUCCGACCCAUAGAUCGAUCCAUCGUCCUUAAUUAUCCUUAACAUAAGAAUACUCACAUAUAUACCAUCACGUACUAUCCUCCCUCUCACUCACUUUUGCUCUCUGAUUUCACCUCAAUGCACCACACUGCACGUAAGUACUCACUACCUUUGGCUCUUCUUUACUAUGGAUGAAGCUGCAGGCAGCCAACCCUAGCUUGCAUAUCCCCUCACUCUCCAUUUCAGCCGCAAGCCACGCACCAUUCUUCAUCUCUUAUAGUUUUACUUCAUCUCCGUUCAUAGCAUAUAUAUUAUUAUGCGUAAGUGAACCAACCACUCACCUCCUCAUCUCCGACCACCACCAGCAGCCUAACCAGUCAGGUAAAUUAUGCUAUUUAUUUAUUUAUUUAUUUAUUAUUAGUAUUAUUAUUAGUGCAAAAAAGACACUCCGACAUUAAAAAAAAUGUUUGUAGCGGCCGGUUAUAAUAAUUGACGGUAAAAAUGUCAAAAAAAUGACCAGUUAAAAGCACUUGAACGUGUGUGGUAAUCGCUGUUGUACAUUUACUUGUUUCUGAUCUUUUGUUUAAGCCUGUGUUUGGAAACAGGUGGAUCUGGAUGUUGAAAAAACUGUGCUAGUCGGUUUCAAGCUUUAGGGAAAAAAUAAUUAUUUAAUUUGUAUGUGUUUCUUUUAAUAUUAUUUAAGUUGUAUAUGGGAUUUUUGUACAUUUUUUUUUAUUAAUUUGAGUCAAAUUUUAUUAUUUUUCUUAGUUUAAAUUAUAAUUGAUAUUAAAAUAAUUUUUUUUAACAUCUUUCUAAUUUAAAAAUAAAUAUGUCAAAGAAUAUAUAGGAUGAUCUUUUAAUUUGAUUAUAUCCCAAAUGUUGCUUUGCAUCACAAAUGAACAAAAUUUAUUAGGAUAUAACAAACAAAUAAACAUUUAGGAUAUAGAAUUUUUUUUUAUUAAUUUAUGAUUAAAAAUAAAUUAAUUUUACUAUUUUUAAUAUUAUAUAAAAUAAACUAAGUACUACACUAAUUAAUAUAAAAUUAUAGUAUUUCUGGGACAACCUGUAGUCUGCUGGCUGCUGCUAAACGUUUUUGUUGUGUGGCUGACACUUUAAGCUGCCAUACAUAACAUAUAUGAACAGGACUUGCCCGCCAUGAACCACCAUACAUGCGUGAACCAACUGCAGUGACUUCCUCUUUAACCAACCCUUGUGAACUAUAGGAACCACGUGCAGUAGCGAAUCAGCGAGGUAAAAUGUGCUAUGCUCACUUUAUUAUUAUUUUUUUGUUAUUAUUAUCAACUUUUGUGCCAAAAUCUCAUUCAUUUGUUCUUACCGUUUUAUUUGUUAUAAUAAUACUGACAGUAUGCAAGGUUGGAAUCUAAAUUUUGUAUAUACUAGUCAAACUUCUUGUCUAUUUAGGUCGAUCCUGAUCGAUAAUCUUUCUCGAUCUAUUUUUUUUAGAUGGACCAAGGGACAGAUCCAAAGGGGGUGAUAGCGUUUGGUAUUCGAGGCCCAAACAAUCCUCCAGAGAAAGGGAGAGAGAGAGAGAGAGAGAAAACUUGAGAACGAGAGAGAGAGGAGAUCUUUUUCUUAAUUACAUUCCUCAAAACUUGUUCGUACAUUUAUAGCCACUAGUGGUGGUUACAAUAGAAAACUAACUUCCUAACAGAAAUCCUAACCUACUGAUUUAUUCUUCUUUAUUCCUUCUAGAAUAUUCAAGCGCGCUCCUACGCACAUUCAUGCCUUCAUGGUUUGUUUAUUACGUAGUCUUUCAGAUGCAUGAGCGUGCUACUGUGCCAUUUGGGCCUUGCUGCUUGCACCCCUACUCUAUUAUUCGUAUCAUUCCCGCUUGCUUCGAAUAACACCUUGUCCUCGAGGUGAUGUAUUGCUUGGAGGGUCGUCCACUCUUCCCACGACGUUUUGUUAGGGUGCAGGCCUCUUCAUUGAACCAGCACAAGGUGCUUCGGCCCUAUAUCCGAAGGAAUGGUUUUGUGAGCUAGAAUAGCUAAUGGGGUCAGAACUGGUUGAUUAUCCACGGCUAAUGGGGGAAGCUCCUCCAUUUUUGCUGAUGCGGGAGUCCCUACAAAGGGUUUUAAGUUUGAACAAUGGAACAUUGGGUGGAUUCGUGAGGUUUCAGGUAAGGCUAGCUUAUAAGCAACUGGUCCCAUCCUUUCGGUGAUCCGGAAUGGCCCAUAAAAACGCCUUGCGAGCAUAGAAUGAACUGCACCUGAGGCUGUGGACUGACGAUAUGGCCGUAGUUUAACUAAAACCCAUUCACCAACUUGAAACUCGUGAUCCCUUCGAUGCCCAUCUGCAAUAGCUUUCAUAUGCGUUUGGGCCUUAAGUAACUUCUGACGGAGUAAGGUGAAUAUGGCCUCUCAUUGACUGAGCAAGUCAUCAACUACUUCCACCUUGGCCGUGCCUGUUAGAUAUUGAGGGAAGGAGGGAGGUUUGCGUCCAAACGUUACUUCGAAGGGUGUCAUUCCCGUAGAGGAAUGGACGGAAGUGUUAUAAGACCACUUAGCCCAUAACAAGAAGCGACCCCAGGAGUUUGGUUUAUGGUGAAUGAAAGCUCUUAAGUAUUGUUCAAUGAUCCUAUUUGCCACCUCCGUUUGGCCAUCUGUUUGGGGAUGGUAGGCAGAACUCAUUGAGUUUAGUGCCACUCAAAUGAAACAAAGCUUGUCAAAAUUUGCUGACGAACAACGGGUCACGAUCAGAGACAAUACUUCUGGGCAUGCCAUGGAGUUUGCCUACUAAUUCAAUGAAGAGCUGAGCAACGCUUUGUGCCGUAUGAUGGGAAGGAAGCAUACUGAGGUGUAGCCCUUUCGAAAAGCGAUCAACAAUCACAAAGACAUAAGUGUUGUUGCGAUAAGCUGGAAGUCCCAUGAUGAAGUCCAUGGAGAGGUCCUCCCAUGGCUGCGAAGGAACUGGUAACGGGCAUAAUAAACCCCGAGAUUUUGCAGGUUCAUACUUCACGAGUUGACAAUCCACACACUGGGCCACAAAUUUACGAGUGUCACUACUCAUUGUCUGCCACAUGAAAUUUUCUGCUACACGAUUCAAGGUUUUUCGAUAACCCAUAUGGCCUCCUGUUGGUGUUUGAUGAAAUUUCGUGAGCAAAGCUUUGAUGAAAGUACAGUCUGAGGGUAACCAAAUACGCCCUCGAUACAAAACAAAGUUGGGUGUUAACACAUGGUCAGGGUAGGUGGCUGGGUCUGCGUGAACCUUCUCCCUUAAGGUUAUAAAUUCAUUAUGCGACUGCAAUUCCUUAGACAGAUCUUCAAGAAACACAAAGUGAGGCAUUGAGAGGAUGAAAAGCGAGGCACUUGGUACCUCUGAACAUCGUAAUAGCGCGUCUGCAACCACGUUAGUUUUGCCCGUUCUAUAUUGUAUAGAGUAAUCAAAACCCAACAAACGUGCCAAAUAUCGGUGUUGCUCCGGCAUUUGAACAACCUGGUUCAUUAAUUCUUUUAAGCUUCUAUGAUCCGUCAAAAUUACAAAGUGGUGCCCCAAAAGGUAUUGCCUCCACUUCUUAACAGCAGUGGUAAUGGCAGCUAGUUCACGAACAUAGGUGGAGGAGCUAAGCAACUUAGGGUAAAACUAUUUUCUAAAGAAGGCUAUUGGGUGUCUUCCUUGUGACAACACUACGCCCAUUCCCGAGCCGGAGGCGUCUGUUUCCACCACAAAGGGUUUUGUGAAAUCAGGAAGUGCUAAUACUGGGAAAUUAGUCACGACAUUCUUCAAGUUUUGGAAGGCAACUGUAGCUUCAGGAGUCCAUGCAAACCCUUCCUUAGUUAAAAGUCACGAGAAUGGUGCUGCUAAAGUAGCGUGUUGCAUUCCUUGGUCGGAGACCACAUGACCCAGAUACUCGAUCUGUUGUUGAGCGAAGGAACAUUUGGAAAAUUUUAGUGUAAACUUACCUUCCAUUAAGACCUAAAAUGCAACCUCCAAGUGAUCCCUGAAGGAACGACUAUAAAUCAAGAUAUCAUCGAAGAAGACGAUGAUAUACUUGCGUAGAUGCGGCUGGAACAAGCGGUUCAUUGUUGCCUGAAACAAAGAAGGUGCAUUACAAAGUCCAAAGGGCAUUACAUGAAACUCAUAGUGUCCAUGGUGAGUGCGGAAGGCUGUCUUGCUUGUAUCGGAUUCUUUCAUCAAAAUCUGAUGAUAUCCUUGCAUUAGAUCGAGCUUAGAAAACCACGUUGCUCCCCCUAGUUCAUCUAAUAAUUCAUCCACCGUAGGUAUAGGAAAGCGAUCACGCACUGUGAUAGCAUUCAAUGCCCUAUAAUCCAUGCAAAAUCGCCAUGUUCUGUCGCGUUUCUUGACUAAUAAAACUGGUGACGAGAAGGGACUUGAGCUAUGUUGUAUGUGACCAUUGCGAAGCAUCAAAGCCACUUGUCUUUCAAUCUCUUGUUUUUGAAAGUAUGGGUAGCGGUAGGGUCUUACGUUUAUGGGUGUUGAGUUAGGAAGGAGGUUGAUCGAGUGGUCUGUGGCUCGUGAUGGGGGAAGGUUCGUUAAUGGUUGGAAGAGGGAGGAAUAUUUAGUGAGUAAGGUUUGAAUUGCCGGUAUCGAGUGAGUCAAUGGUAAGGGUUCGGGAUGAUGAGAGUCAAGUUGAAUGUGAAAAUAGGUACUAGUGUUACCUGUGUUCAUAAGGCGUCGUAGCUGUGAUGGUGAUAUCUGAUCAAUAUUUGCAUCACGAUCACCCUUGAGCUCAAUCAAUUUAUCAUUAUAAAUGAAUUUCAUGGUGAGAGUUGCGUAGUCUGUUAGGACAGGUCCCAGUGACUUUAGCCAUUGUACUCCUAGCACUACGUCAGCUCCGCAAAUUGGAAGAAUAUGGAAAUCAACCAAGAAAGUGUGUGCCUGAAUAUGUACCGCAACUUCCGGGCAAACUUGGUUGCACUGCAGCUCCUCGCCAUUACCUACUGUUACUCGAAGAGUAGAAGUUGUUUGUGGUUGCAAGCUUAAUGUUGUAACCAACUCUUGCUAUAGGAAGUUGUGUGUGCUUCCUCCAUCAAUGAGAAUCUGAACACGGUGGUUUCCAAUGAGGCCCGUGACUCACAAGGUUUCCGGGGCUCCGUGACCGGAAAGCGCAUGAAGACUUAUCUGAGCUGGUGAUGUCUCCUGUGAAGCUACAAGAGCUGUUGGAGACGAUGGGUUGGAAUCAGAAUCCUGCAGGCACUCCUCAUCCUCUGUAACAAAUAGGAACAAGGACGGGGUGCACUUAUGGCCCCGUGAGUACUUUUCGUCAUAAUUAAAACAUAAUCCCUUCUCCCUUCGAAUAGCUAAUUCUUCUGGGGAAAGGCAUUUAAAGGGAAUAGUGGUUGUGGCAGGUUUAGUUGGUGAAGGAGUUAAGAGCGACUCAACUGGUUUAGUGACAACCGGCGGUGAUAAUCGUGAAGGAAAACUAUACGACAGACUAGGGGAGGUUCGAACAGAAGAUCGUCGCCCAUCUAGCUGUUGAGACUUUGGCAAGUGUACCAAAUCGCUCUUAAGUAGUAAACCUCGGAAGUCCGAGUAUCGUGUCCGCAGGGAUUUUAUUGCACUUGUUAAAUACUUCUCAAUUUGUAAGUAAGAAUAAAAAAAACAGGAAUAAGUGUAGGAAUAGAGUGCGAUUACUAAAUCAAAUAGUUUAAAAAAGGAAAGACAAUUAAUAAAGAUGCCAAGACCAGACAAACCCAAUUGGCCUACGAUGCAUGUAAAUAUGAUAUUCAUUACCAAUGCACUGGUAUUAGUUAUACCCACAUCUGUUAACUACUUGCCCCUGAUGCCUCACGUUGGCAAGCCUAUUUUAACUACCUAUCUCCCAAAUGCCUUUGCGAAGAUUCAAUAAUUAAAAUGCAUUAAGAUUAAGUUCUAGAUGUUGCUUAAAUGCAUGGGCAGUGGGUUAUCACUCUAUGCCUAGCAAUGGUAACCCAAGAAUUCUUUUCUUAAGAUGUUCUGUUAGGCGUUACCCUUUUCCAAGUGUAUAACCCCUAAAACUAAUGCAUGCAUUGAAUCUUAAAUAUUUAUUGGGAAAUACCCUCUCCCGAGCGAAUAAAACCCAAAAGAAGUUUAAGAACAAAUGCAAGAUAACAAGAAAAGAAUUAGAACAGAAAAACCUGGAAUCAAUUCCUUUUGCAUUGAUAACUCUUGAAGCUCAUCGUACAUCGUUGGCUUUUUAGGCCUGCCAGGCCCUAGCUAGGGGAUUAGCCACUCAUGGUCAUUGAGGUCUUACAAUUAGGGGUGAAGGAAAGAAUGGGGAUAAUAAAAACAAAGAAUAAUAAGAGAAAGGAAAACUCAAGCUUGAAGUACUGAGAACUGUGCUCUGAGACGAGGUGAGUUUUCCUUGGGACUGACUCUCUAUUUAUAGUUGCUGAAGUGGGCUUGUGGGCUACGUAGUCGCGCUCAGCGCCACACCUCGUGCUUAGCGCGUACAGAUCGCGCGCUGGGCGCGCCAUGCAGGCUUAGCCUGUGCUUCUGUUGGAUCGCGCGCUGGGCGCCUAGCUGGGCUUAGCGCGCGUAACGGUUGCUCCUUCGUGCUUAACGCCACGCUUAGCGCCUGCAAUUAAUUGCUCACUUAGCACGUGAUGCGCGCUUAGCGCCACUGUUGGGCUGGGCCUGCUUCAGAAUUUCUUCUUUUUCUUCCUUUCUGUUGCCAUUUUUGCUUAAUGUACCCUCAUUUUUCGUAUCUGCAACCAGAAAUUCAAUUUAAUUAAUUUUUUCAACUUUUAAUCAUAAAUAACUACUAAAUAAUUAAUUUUAAGUAAAAAUUUGACUAUUUAACUACGAUUAAUUCACAAUUAUUUAGCAGUUAUCACUAGCAUCCUUUCCUCAUGCAGCCUAGCAAAGGAGAUUGCCUGAACCAACGAGUGAGGCUGCAUAACUUGCACCUCCCGUUGAAUCACUGGAUUUAGUCCUGACACAAAACAACUUAGCACAAACGGUGCCAGCAAACCAAUUAUACGGUUAGCAAGAGCUUCAAACUCCGAGAGGUAAGCGGAGACAAUUGAUCGCUGUGUCAACUUACAGAGCAAACCUGUUGGAUCUUCAUAGGUUGAAGAUAAGAAUCGUGCGUGGAUGGCGUGUAAAAAAGUGGACCACGAAGACAAUUGACCAUUCCUAUGCAUCCAUUGAAACCAGGCUAAUGCUAAGCCUUCCAUGUAAAAAGAUGCUAUGGUGAGUCUUUCGUGAUCUGGAGUUGCAUGAUAUUCGAAGAACUGCGUGAUCUUGAAUAUCCAGCCUUCUGGAUCAGAGCCAUUGAAGCGCGAAACUUCGAGCUUCAUACGGUAAGUCGGAUUCGUGGUCGUUGCACCUGGAGAUGGCGAUGGCACUCGCGGAGAUGCGUGCUCUGUCUCUAACUGAGUCAUACGAUGCAGAAGCUCGUCGAACUUGGAAGACGAAAGUCUCGCAAAUGCCUCUUCCCAGUGAUCAGCACUUGUUUUUGAUCGAGUAGCUUCAGCCAUGGUGUGAGCAAUGAAAGCACCAAUGAUAGCGUUUGGUAUUCGAGGCCCAAACAAUCCUCCAGAGAAAGGGAGAGAGAGAGAGAGAAAACUUGAGAACGAGAGAGAAAGGAGAUCUUUUUCUUACAUUCCUCAAAGCUGGUUCAUACAUAUAUAGCCACUAGUGGUGGUUACAACAGAAAAUUAACUUCCUAAUAGAAAUCCUAACCUACUGAUUUAUUCUUCUUUAUUCCAUCUAGAAUAUUCGAGCGCCCUCCUACGCACGUUCAUGCCUUCAUGGUCUAUUUAUUAUGUAGUCUUUCAGAUGCAUAGGCGUGCUAUUGUGCCUUUUGGGUCUUGCUGCUAGCACCCCUACUCUAUUCGUAUCACGGAUCCAAAGGGGGCCUCUUAUGACCCUUUGUGUAUAUAUAUAUAAGAAAAAAAAAGAAAAAUUAAAAUAUAAAAAUACUAAUAACAUCAAUUUUUCCAUGUGAUCGCUGCAACUGCUCUUUAAGUACCAAUUUCCUCUUGUCUCAUCACUAGAAUCUCGGGUAGCAUAGUAAAGAUGUCACUGUCAUGCUCUUUAAUGAAAUUUGCUUGAUGCUUGUUUUUAUUAUCAAUUCUUCUCCACAUGUCCAAAAUUUUCACAAUAGUGACAUUGUGGUUUUCCAAGAUGCCAACAAUCCUUCUAUAUUUUUCUUGAUUGGUCUUAGAGAAAUUUCUAGAAUUUUGUGUAUUUCUAGAAACUUCUCCAUCUUUCUUUCCACCAUUUUUUUUAAUUGAGACCGUAAUUUAAACUUUGAUUGGAAGGCAUUCUCGACAAAGUCUUCAUUAUGCCGUUUCAAUCUUUGCACAUACACAAUCCAUAAGUUAUAUCCCUGAUAAAGUAGACAAAUCUUUGUUUUGUCCUCCUUAAAUUCAAGAAGAAAUUUCCGUAAGAACCCAAGUGUCACACUUUGUUUCUUUCUCUUUCCUUCGUACCAAGUGUUUCCCUCUCUUAAGUUUCUCACAACAAUCUUAGUACUUCUCACACUUCUGAUUAUAGUUAGUUGCACAUACAUAAAGAUCCCAUGACCUCUAUUUAUAGGCCCCAAGCCACUAAAACACAACAACAUAAGCCUAAUAAAAAACACUCAAUAGUCUUAUGCGUAUCAGAUUAAUAUAUGAAUUAAACAAAUUGUCCCAUCUAACUGAGCAUCAGACUAUCCUCAAUCUCAUCACAAUAGACGAUCCUCAUAAGAUCGAACGUCCAUCAGAAUGAACAAUAUAUUUUGAGUUACAGACCACAAUUCUCCACCUUGACUCUAAAUUUGAGCCAGACGAUUCCUUCCACCAUAGUGUUACUCUCCCACUUUUGAAACUAUAUUUCAAGAGAAAUUAAUCAAGUCUAAGGUUGAACUUUGACCUUGGUAGAGAUUUUGUGAACAUAGAUGCAAUUUUCACAAUCCUAACUCCUUCAAAUUCAACCACAUCUCUUAUGAAGUGAAGCCUAACAUCAAUAUUCUUUCUCCUCUCAUGGUAAACUUGACCGAUUUGUAAGGUGGAUAGCACUUUGGCUAUCAUAGUGAAUUAUCACAUAGUUUUGUACAAUUUCUAGUUCACCAAUCAUCCCUUUUAACCAUACUCAUUUUGCAAUAGCAAUAUACUCUUGAUUCAGUUGUAGAUAGAUCUACCAUGGGCUGUAAGUUUCCUUUCCAACAAAUAGUAGCCCCAAACAAUGUAAAUGCAUAUCUAAAUAAGGACUUCAUAGUAUCCACAUGCUCUACAUACUUUGCAUCAACAUGCCCCAUAAUAGCAUCUCCACCUUGAGCUACCUUCUUAUACUUUAGACCAGAUUCCAAAGAUCCAUUCACAUAUCUCAAUACCUACUUCAAAGCCUCCCAAUGAGCUUGACCUGAAUCGGCCCUAAACCUUUUUACAAUGUGAAUAGCAUGGGCCAAGUUUGGCCUACUACAAACCAUACCAUACAUGAUGCUUCCUACUCUACUAGCAUAUGGAACAAUAUCCAUCUUCUUCCUUUCCUCUUCAAUAUUAGGAGCUUGAGUAAUUGAGAGCUUAGUGUGAUGUCUCAAAGGUGUGCUUACAAAUUUAGAUUGAUGCAUCCUAAACCUUUCUACUACCUUCUUCAAAUAGCCCGCUAAGAUAAGAACAAUUUUCUCUUCAUCUGAUCUAUAACAAUAUCAAUCCUAAGUAUCCUCCUUGCAAUACCAAAAUCCUUCAUGAUCAUCUCAAAUUCUGAACUUAAUCUCUCCUUGAGCAUACUAAUCUCAUCCUAGCUUGUUUGAGGUAGCUAUAAGAAUAUCAUCUACAUACAAAAGCAAGAAAAUGUGACAUUGUUAUUCUCUUUUCAAGAUUUAGACAUAACUACUCCUUAGAAAACCUUCAUUUGAUCUUCUGCAAACCCCUUAGGUUGUUGCAUAUAAAUGGUCUCCUCAAGGUCUCCAUGUAAAAAAAGUUGUCUUGGCAACCAAUUAUGGUAACUCCAGAUCAUACUGAUUUACAAUUGCCAUCAAGAUCCUUAUAGAAUAAUGUUUUACCACAGGUGAGAAAAUUUCAUUAUAAUUAACUCUGUCCACUUGUGUAAAACCCUUAGCCACAAGUCUUGCCUUGUACCUCGACUUCUUCACACUUGGAAUGUUUUUCUUUUUCUUGAAGACCUACUUGCAUCCAACUAGUGUUAACUCGUUGGCAAGUGCACCAAAUUCGUCACAAGUAGUAAAAUACUCGAAAGUCCGAGUGUCGAAUCCACAUGAACUUUGUUUGUACUUAGAUUAAAGCAAAUCCAAUUUACAAGCAAGAGAUAAGAAAUUUAAGAUAAAAGAGGCAGAAAGAUAAAAGAUAUAAGAUAAAGAUUUAAAAAGGAAAGAUAAGAGAUAAAAUAUUUAAAUUAAAAGAUGAUAAAGAUAAAAAAUAGAAGAUAAAAAAAUAAGAUAAGAAACAAAAAAUAAAAGAUAAAGAAAGAUAAGAAAAAAAAGAUAAGAUGAAUAAAAGAUAAGUUCUCAAAAUGUGAUAAUGUUGUUGGGACCUUGCAUGCCCUCUUUGCCUUGGAUCUGUUCUACCCACACCUAUCCAUUUACUCGCCCCUAAUGUCUCACGAUGACAAGCUUAUUUUAUUUACCUAUCUCUCAAAUGCCUUUGAAAAGACUCAAUAAAUAAAAUGCAUGAAGACUAGAUUCUAGAUGUUUGCUAAAUGCAUGGGCAAUAAGUCACCAUUCUAUUCCUAGCAAUGAUGACCUUAUGAUUUCUUGCCUUAUCUGUUCUGUUAGGAGUUACCCUCUCCCGAGCAACUUACCCCAAAAGAAAAUAAAGAUGAAAAUGCAAGAUAAAGUAGAGAAGAAAAUAGGUGUCUUGUUUGACAUGUGCAAAUGCCAAAGCACUAAACACCCUCAAGUUGGAAUAGUUUAUUGGUUUCUCACUCCAUACUUUCAUAGGUGUCUUAGAGUCUAGAGCAAACGAUGGACAUCUGUUUGUCAGAUACAUUGCAAUAUUUGUAGCUUCUCCCUAGAAACUUUUAGGCAGACCUACUCUUAAAAACAUGCACCUCACUCGUACCAAGAUGAUCUUUUUCAUUCUCUCAAUUAGGCCAUUUUGUUGAGGAGUUCUUGCUAUAGUCUUAUGUCUCUUAAUUCCUAGUUUUCUUCCAAACACAUUAAAUUGUUCUGAAACAAAUUCCAGCCCAUUGUCAGUUCUCAAAACUUUCAAUUUUGUUCCUUGCUAAUUUUCCCCAAGUGUGUAACACUCCUAGAACCUUUGAAAUGUUUCAGACUUAUUCUUCAAUAUAUAAAUUCACACUCUUUUAGAGAAAUUAUCAAUAAUUGCAAGAAAAUAGGAACCCCUCCAUGAAUCAUCACCCUUGAAGGACCCCAUAGGUUUGAAUGAACAUACUAAAAGGGCCUACUAGAAACAUGUGUACCAGUCCCAAACUUCACUCUAUGAGACUUACCCAAUAUACAAUGAUUACAAAAUUCUAAUUUAUCCAAUUUAUCACCAUUCAGCAGAUUUUGUUUUUACAGUUAGACCAAACCCCUUUCACUAACAUGACCUAGUCUUAGAAGCCACAAUUGUGUCUUAUCCUGUAACGUUUGACUAGCUACAAAUGCGUGAGCAAUAACAAUUGAGCCGUCCAGAAUAUGCAGACCAUUCAUUUUAACACCCUUAGCAACAAUUAAGGCUCCAUUUGAAAUCCUAAUCAGACCAUGUUCUAUUUUGGUAGAGUAUCUCAAAUAUCAAACAUGCUUAUUGACAAAAGAAUCCAUUUAGGCUCAGGAAGAUACCACAUAUCUUGCAACAACAUCUCUCGGUCAUCAAACAUCUUUAGUCUGACAGUACCCAUGCCAAUAUUAAUUUUAUGUCGUCCCCAAUAAGAGGUAUUAUACAUUUUUCAAUUAAAAACAAGUUUUCAUUUUAAAACUUUUGUAUUUCUUAAGUUAUAAAUUAUUUAUUAUUUGAAUAAUCUUUUAUGAGAAAAAAUAGAUAAACUAUAGACAAAUUUAACUUAGGUUACUAAACAAUUAAUAAUCUAGAAAAUUUGUAUUUUUUUAACAAUUUAUUCACUAACUUUUUAUUUUUGUAAUUUAAGACAUGUAUAUUUAAAUAAUAAACUUAAGAAAAUGUCAUGUCAACUAGUUGUGUUUACGGGUUCAAAAAUCAAAACCUGUUAUCUAACUUAUACAUGAAUGAGUGUAAAUAGGUUGGAUUGAAUUAUAUAUAUACAUAUAUAUAUAUAUAUAUAUAUAUAUAUAUAUAUAUAUAUUAGUAUAAUUUUCACAAACUAUUGCUUUAUCAAUAAAUUGAUAUAAAAUACAAUUUUUAUCUAUUUAACCAUUAAAUUAUAUCUACAUAUUAAUAAGAUUUUUCGUAUCAAUUUUUUUAAAAUUGAAUAACAAUAAGGUAAUAAAAUGAUUCAUAUUUUAGUAUAUUUUAAAAAAAUUAUAUUACAUUAAUUUUAAUCUAUAUGAAUGAGUUAACGAAUAAAUUUAGAUUAAUAUAAAAUUUCACAUAAAUAAUCUUUGUGAAAAGAAUUUUCCAUCCAACGGUAGAUUUUAAAAAAAUAUUUUUUUUAUCAACAUGUGAUGUGUUAACUCUUUGGCAAGUGUAUCAAAUCGCUCGCAGUAAUAAUUUCUUGGUAAUCCGAGUAUCGUACCACAGGAAUUUUGUUGCACUUAUGUGAAGUAGUACUUUUCAGUUUGCACAUUGUAAAUUUAGUUUGUAAAAUUAAAGGCAAUUUAAAUCUAAGCGGCUACUUCUAAAUUAAGGAAAACUCAAGAAAUAAAGAAAGAAUAAAGUCUAUAAAAUAUUGCUAAAAUCUAAUAAACAUAAGUACCUACUUCCAAAUAAAAUAAGGAAUAACUACUUCUAAGAAAACCCAAAUAAUAAAUAAGGAAUAACUACUAAGAAAAAAACUUCAAACAAUAAAAUAGGGAAUAAAAUCUAUAUAAUAAAUUUGCUAAAACCUAACAAGUCUAAUCAGCCUAGAUAUAUGGAUUCAGGAUUUGUCUGUUAUCAAUACCAGUGAACUAAUUCUGCCCUACAUCUAUCUAUCUACUUGCCCCUGAUGCCUCAUGAUGACAAGCCUACCUUAAUUACAUAUCUUCCAAAUGCCCUUUGCAAAGACUUAAUAACUAAGAUGCAUUAAGAUUAAAUUCUAGAUGUUUGCUAAAGCAUGGGCAUUGGGUUAUCAUUCUAUGCCUAGCAAUGCUAACCCCAUGAUUUCUUUGUUUUAUUGUUCUAUUAAGCGUUACCCUCUCCCGAGUGGACUAACCCUUAAAACAUAUUCAAGCAUUCAUUCCUACCCCUAAUUAGGCUUUACCCUCUCCCGAGUGGACUAAAGACUAACAGAAAAUAAAGACUGAGAUACAGGAUAAAUAAGAAAGAAAAGCAGAUAAAAGAACCUGGAAGGAAACCCUUUAAAUGAUAACCCAAUGAUUUCUUCCUUUUAUUGUUCUAUUAAGCGUUACCCUCUUCCAAGUGGAUUAACCCUUAAAACAUAUUCAAGCAUUCAUUCCUUACCCCUAAUUAGGCUUUACCCUCUCCCGAGUGGACUAAACCCUAACAAAAAAUAAGGAUUGAGAUGCAGGAUAAAUAAGAAAGAAAGGUAAAUAAAAGAACCUGGAGGAAAAUCCUCUUUUUAUUGAUAACUCUUGAAAUGCUCCAUACAUCAUUGGCUUUUUAGGCUUGCCAGUCCCUAGCUAGGGGAUUAGCUACUCAUGGUCAUGAGGGCUUUACAAUGAGAAGGGAGUGAAAGAAAGGUAAUAAAAAUAUAAGAAAAGGGAAGGAAAAGGAGAGAACUGAGUGCCAGAGGUCUGAGAAAUGAGCUCUCAGGAAGUGUUUUCGUUUUCCUAGGCUGACCCUCUUAUUUAUAAGUGCAAAAUUGGGCUUUGGGCCUUCGUAGUCUCGCUGAGUGCGAAGCCUUGCGCUCAGCGCCACCGCGCACUCAGCGCAUGUCGUGCGCUUAGCGCCUUGCUUUCUUGCGUGGGCGUGUCUUGCGCUUAGCGCCUUGCUGGGCUGGGCUUCUUCUGAUUUUCUUCUUUUUUUCUUCAUUUCUGCUCCUUUUUGCUUGUUGUACCUCCCUUUUUCACAUCUGCAAUCAGAAUUCGAAAUUAAUUAAAUCUUUCCAAAUUAAAGCAUAAAUAACUGCUAAAUAAUUAAUUCUAAGUUAAUUUCAGACCGAUUUUCCACUAUUAAUUCACUAUUAUUUAGCAGUUAUCAUGAUGUGAUGAAGAAAUACAUUGCAUAAAAUGUAAUGUGGUGAUAAAUGAGUUUUCAAAGGUGUGAAAAGGCAUAGGAUGGCAAAUUAGUAGAACAUGUGAUAUAUAUGAAGAAAGAAUGAUAUUGGCAUGGAAGUGUCAUGCUUUGUAGCUUAAACAACUUUAGAUAUAUAAAUAGAAAGAUAAAUAGAUUCAACUUGUAAAAGUCAUGGUUUUCAAAACUAUGUAGUAUUAAACAUAAGGGCAACCAAGUAUUACAAAAGUAUAUUAGAAGCAUAGUCUUACAAAUUUUCUUUUUCCCAGUGAAAGAUUUUAAACAGAAAUGAUAAUUUAGGUUGUAGUAACUUUAGUAUUGGCUAGGUUUGAAAAUUGCUGCAGCAUAUGAAAGCAUUUGUGUUAGAUUCCAAAACUUCAUAAGCCUUAUACUCCUAUUCUUUAUAAUCAGUAAGGAUUAGUUUAGCUCCAAAUGUUGUAAUGGUCACCUUCAUGAUCUUUCCAAGCUUGUGGAAAGAGAGCAUGGUCAAACCAUAUUAUAACCGUUCGUAUAUGGUAGCUGCAAAUGCCAUGUUGAUACCCAUGCAUAUUGCCUUAUGUAGGCUCUAUUGGAGUUGUCUAGUGACUCUGCAUGGUAAACCAGUGGAGUCCACUGAAUGAGCUGAGAAAAGAACUGUUCUACAUUAAAUAAGAAUAUAUACCCAUGAAUAAAAAAAUAGCAAUGUUUGUUAUGUUGGAAUGAAAUUUUUGUUGGAAUUUUAGAAGAUCCUUAUAAAAUACCAAUAAUCACAUCACAUUAAAUUAUCAGGAAGAGUUUUAGGAAUACCUAGAUCCAUAAUGAUUGCUCAAACAAAUACAACGAAAUUUGAAUUUGUAGGUGAUUUUUUAUCAUUGCGCUUGUGACGCCCUCUACCCCUCACAUAUAUGUACUAAUAAUAAAAGGAAUAAGAAAUCAGAAUUAAUUAAAAGUUUUUAAACACAAUUAAAUACAAGCUUUUCAAAAUAAUAAAAGGCUCACUUUCAUUUUUCUAACAUCAUAAUAAAACUUUUCCAAAUAAAUAAUAAAUCAUCUCAGCUCAAAACAAGGUCAUCCAAGACUUCAUGUAAUUAAUAUAGAAACAUAUAUCUCAAUGUCACAUCCUAUCAGAGCAUUGUGUUCUUGUGUCCUCUAACAUGAGGUUCUUCAUAGUCAUCCACCUAACCAUCUACUUCCAUUAACACAAAAUCGAGAUCAUCACAAGAUCCAAACACAAAUAGUACACGGGGAGUGAGUUAUUACAUUCCUAACUAAUAGAGAGAAAUAAGACAACAUAUAGGUAUAAAUAUCAUAUAAACAAAAUACAACUUACUUAUGCAUAGCUCACAUUAUUUCACCACUUUGUCACGCAUCAUCACAUUACAACACCACAUGUCUCAUUCGUUUUCACAACAUUCACGUACUUAAUGAUCAAAACACAAUAUCACUAAAUCAAUCAAUAUCGAUCAAUGUGGUACCAUGUCAGUGAAAAACCUCGUUGAGCGCCUAAAAGUACAUGACAAGACAAACCACACACUAGUAAAUCAUGUCACUUUCACUAGGUAAAAUCAUAAGGAGACCAGUCAAGGUCACGUUGUUUUGUAAGAAUGUUCCAAUCAUAUGGGAUCAACAUAUAUUUAAAGGAGCACUCAAACCGGAUGUAUUUACCCCCAAGACCUACACUCUGAAGAGUCCGUCAGGGCCUUUCCCUCCUGAUUCAGGUCCAACCCAGAAAAGAUUUUAGCACACAGACUCUAUCUAUGAACUGUACAAAACACACAACUCCUCAAUUGUUCUCAAAAUAGUUUUAUCUCAUUACGCUUGUGGUUAAUGUCGUCGAGUCCUCACAGUGGUUCCCAUCACAAUACUUGUCACCCUUAAAAGGUCUUAUAGUCGUGUGAUUGUACAAUUCAUAGCUCAUAACUCAAUGCACAUAACAUCUCAAUGCACAUAUAUAUUACAAGUCAAUACAUACUUAAUUUAUCACAUACACUCAGUCUCAAUCACAAUGGUAUAAUCUCAAUUUAACAUGUUAUCACACCACAUGAAUCAUAUACACUUUACCUAUGAACUAUGCAAUACACAUGACUCUUCAAUUAUUUUUAAAAUAAUUUUAUGUCAUCGUGCUUGUGAUUAAACUUGUCGGGUCCACACAGUGAAUCCCAUCACAAUACUCGUUGCGCAAAAACUCGUCGCCCUUAAAGGAUUUUACAAUUGUGUGAUUUCACAGUUCAUAUCUCACAACUCGAUACACACAUCUCAAUACACAUAUAUUUCAUCAUUCAUCACAGGUUCAAUUUAUCACGUACUCUCAAUUUGAAGCACAAUUUCAUAAUCUCACUAUACCAAUUUAUACAAAAGGUUUAUCACAACAUGGGGAGUAAAACCCCUCAAAUAAUUUUACACAAUUAUAUCAAAAUCAAUUAAUCAAAAUCAUAGGUAUAAAAAAACGAAAACACCAAGAGCACACGUUAUUUUAUCAAUCAAAUUGCAUCAGGACAUCAAUAUUGUAUUUAUAAUCAUAAAGGAAAAUUUUCAAUUUAAUAAACAUCCAAAAAUAAACCCAAUUUAAUCCUCUAAGGAUCUUUACACAUGUUCAUUCUAACCCCAAUUGCGAUAAACUCAUCCCUUACCUCUAAGCGGGCUCACGUGUGUAUUCUGACAGUGAUAGCGGCAUUUCUAGCAAAUUCCUAUGAUUCCUCAAGCUUUUCCUCUGGUUGCUCUGAUGGGGUUUCAAAGCAUUUGAGAGGUGGAGAAGAGAUUGAAACCUUCAUUCCACUGUCUGUGUGCGAUGCAUAUUUCUCCCUCUCCACAAAUUAAUAUAAAAAUCCUAACGGUGAAGAUGUGAGAAAUGAAUCAUAAACCCGGUUUCCAAAUUUCACGAUAAUCCAACGGUUAACGAGUUCAGGAUCAUAGCUUUAUUGGGACAUAUUUUGGGUCUCUACAUGAAAGGAGAAGCUACGAUGUGAAGGAAAUUUUUCUUAGCUCUGACUUUUUUAGCAAUUUUCAAUGGUGAGAAUGCUCGAAAUUGAGUUUCAAACCUGAUGCUGAAAUAUCAUGACGAUCCAACGGUUAAAAAGUCCGAGAUCAUCAUUUUAAUAAGACAGGUAUGAGUGUAUGCGGGAAAAAGAGAGGAUUUUGGGAGAGAAAAAGAGAAAACAAAAUUGAGAGGAAGAAGAGACGUAGAAACUAUUGUUAGUAUGAAAACUGACCUAACAUGUCUCUAUUUAUAGUUAGGGUACCCACAACCUAUCAUUUACUCUAUUUAUUUAUUUUUAUUAUUUUAUAAAAAGAAACUCUAUUUUAUUCCCUUUAAUAAAUAAAAUACCUUUUCUAUUUUCUCUCAAACCAUUAUUUUAAUUAAUAAAAUUAUUUCUCCUUAUUUAUUUAAUUAUGAAAACCUCAUCAUUUUUCUAAAACUGUAUUUAUUUAUAAAUAACAAUCCUUUUUAAAUUAGUUUACAAAAAAUGGGAUGUUAGAGCGCUCUUCUUAGGAUGUGUUACAGGAUGCUGUAAAGACAAUGAAUAACUGACUAACAGUGUAACUGGUGGCUUCAUGGUUCUUCCUCAACCGGAACCUCUUUAUUCCUUAACAUUACCUUUGUAACUCUUCAGAUGGAUAAAAGAGAAACGAUAUGUGAUGGCCCGAUAUAUUUGGGACCAUAGUCUUCUUAUAGUGUGUUAACCUAAUAUGGUUCCCAUUAUCCCCUAAUGGGCCAACAUUGACAUCUGUUCAUUUAAGUUCAUAUCAUCUGAUUUAAUUGUCUAACUGGUUCACUUAAUUUGAUUACGUAUAAUUGUCUGAUAAUAUUAGCUCACAUUAAUUAUUGGAAUAAAAAAUUCCAACAAUCUCCCACUUGGACUACAUAUUGUAACAAUUAUAUAAAAACUCCUUAAGCACGCAUAUGAAUGAUAUUUACCUUUAUUUCUUAGGUAACUGGUGACUUCAUGGUUCUUCCUCAGUCGAAACCUCUUUAUUCCUUAACAAAACCUUCAUAUUCACGCGGGAAGAAGAGAAACUAUAUAUGAUAAGUCAAUAUGUUAGGGACCAUAGCCUUCUUAUAGUGUGUUAACUUGAUAGAGUUUUUAUUAUCCCCUAAUAGGGCCAACAAUGACAUAUGUUCCUUAUUUAGUUGUCUAACAAGCUCAAUUAUUUUGAUCACAUAAAAUAAAACCUACUAAUGAUAAAUAAUUAAUAUAAUUGUCUUAUAACAUUAGCCUACAUUAAUUAUUGAAAUAGAAAAUUCUAACAAUUUUACUAUUGAAGGAAAUAUUUGAGAAUGAGAGAAAUUAGAAAGUUUUGAGGAAGAGGUUACUUGUACAAAAUGAUCACUUCUUGAUUUGGCUUAAAACAAAUUUUAAUACAAUGCCUUUAUUUAUAUUAAUGGCUCCUCCCAAACCUGUGGUUAUGAUUUUGCUAACACACUUAAUCUAAUGGUUACAAAUGAUUCUCUAGAACUUUUUACAUACAAAGUUACUCACACAUUCUAGAAUAUUCUACAAGUUAUUCUAGAAUUAUCUUCUACAAUAGAUUUUUCUAGAACAUUCUUCUAGAAUUUUAGUUUAACAUGUCUUGUGGAAUCUCCUAGAACUUGGGCUUUUUGAUAAGGCCCAAAAUCAAGUCUAUAUUUCAACAUGUUAUUCUGUACCAUUAAAUUUUCUUAAUUGAGGUUUUGUUUUAAAAAUUUUACAAGUGAGAAAAAAGGAAAAGAAAUUUUUUAUAAAACUUGGUAAACUACCGGACACGAUAGAGUUUGAUAACCUAUAUAAACAGGUGAUAGGAAGCAAGUGGUAGAGGUUAAGAUAUUUUUUAGAACGUGAGCAAAAGGAAAACGAAAAAAUAUAAAACUUAGCAAAUUAACUACGGGACACAAGUGUGUUUGAAAACCUGCAUUGUGAUAGCUAGGAAGCAAACAUAGCAUAUUGAUGAUUGGAGAAGAGGGGACAAAAGCAGGUGAUUGGAUGGAGGGGUUAAUUAAGAUCCUAUCCAAGGUGAUAAAUAAUUAGAGAAGGGACGUUUGGGGAUGUAUGCACAAAAAUAUAAUCAACUCUCCCACUAACACUAACAGAUACUAACAGACACCUAAUAGCAUCAGUCAAAUUCUAAUAUGUUUUAUUUGCUGAAUGUUUUGCGAAUGUGUCCUUUUGUUUCAUCAUUUUUGAAAUUUUGCAUGUGUAACAUUCAGGAAAAAGUGGUAGCCACAGCAGGAAUCAAAGAAACAAGAAGAACGUGCCAAUUGCCAAGGGAGAAUGGACCCAAUUACUUCUGCCACUGCCCAAAGUGCACUGCAAAUUGCAGAACAUGUGGUCAAACGACAAGUGGGUUACAUAUUUAAUUACAAAGACAAAUUUAAAGAGGUGGAACAAUACAUUGAGAGGCUGGAUGAUACUAGGAAGAGGGUUCAAAAUGAAGUUAAUGAUGCAGAGAAGAACGGAGAAGAAAUUAACGAUGAAGUUCAACAUUGGUUAAAACAGGUGGAUGAGAAGAUAAAAAAAUAUGAGUGUUUUAUUGAUGAUGAACGCCAUGCACAGACAAGGUGUUCCAUUAGAUUGAUCUUUCCAAAUAACUUGUCAUUGAGGUAUCGGUUAGGCAGAAAAGCUACAAAGAUAGUAGAGGAAAUCAAAGCAGAUGGACAUUCAAAUAAAAAGUUUGAUAAAGUUUCAUAUCGGUUGGGCCCAUCCUCUGAUGCUGCUUUGUUAAACACUGGUUAUGUGAGCUUUGGGUCGAGAAAUGAAACUAUGGAGAAGAUUAUGAAAGCACUGGAAGACUCGACAGUUAAUAUUGUUGGAGUCUAUGGGGCUGGUGGUGUGGGUAAGACUACUUUAGUCAAAGAAGUUGCUAACAAAGCUCGAGAAAAGAAGUUGUUCAAUAUGGUGGUCAUGGCAAAUGUAACAAGAAUUCCUGACAUAGAAAAAAUUCAAGGACAAAUUGCUGAGAUGUUGGGAAUGAGAUUGGAAGAGGAAAGUGAAAUUGUAAGAGCAGAUCGCAUUCGAAAGAGGUUAAUGAAUGAAAAGGAGAAUACCCUUAUAAUCCUAGAUGAUCUCUGGGAUGGAUUGAACUUGAAUAUAUUGGGGAUUCCACGUAGUGAGGAUGAUGAUGGAAGCCAACAAGAUGUCAAUGAUUUAUCUGAUUUUGGUUACCAUAAGAUGGAAAAAGAAGUGUUUUCGGCCGAUUUCCAUACAAUGAAAAAAGACAAGUUAGCUGUCGAUUUCAAUACGAUGAAAAAAGGCAAAUUAUCUGUUGAUUCCAAUAUGAUAAAAAAAGAAAAGUUAUCUGGUGAUCACAAGGGAUGCAAAAUUCUUCUAACAUCCAGAAGUAAAGAAGUAAUAUGUAAUAAAAUGGAUGUGCAGGAGAGAUCAACUUUCUCGGUAGGAGUCCUUGAUGAAAACGAGGCAAAGAGUUUCCUUAAGAAAUUGGCGGGAAUACGUGCCCAAAGUUUUGAAUUUGAUGAGAAAGUCAUUGAAAUUGCCAAAAUGUGCGAUGGAUUGCCUAUGGCAUUAGUUUCCAUAGGAAGGGCUCUAAAGAAUAAAAGCUCCUUUGUAUGGCAGGAUGUCUGUCAACGAAUUAAACGACAAAGUUUUACAGAAGGGCACGAAUCUAUCGAGUUCUCUGUAAAUUUGAGCUUUGAGCAUCUAAAAAAUGAGCAGCUGAAACAUAUUUUCUUACUGUGUGCUAGAAUGGGAAAUGAUGCUUUGAUUAUGGACUUGGUGAAGUUCUGUAUCGGGUUGGGUUUGCUUCAAGGGGUCCACACAAUUAGAGAAGCGAGAAACAAAGUAAAUAUGCUGAUAGAGGAGCUAAAAGAAUCAACUUUGUUGGUGGAAAGUCUCUCUCAUGACCGCUUCAACAUGCAUGACAUUGUGCGGGAUGUUGCUCUUUCAAUAUCAUCCAAAGAAAAACAUGUUUUUUUUAUGAAAAAUGGCAUAGUAGACGAGUGGCCUCACAAAGAUGAACUUGAAAGGUACACUGCUAUAUGUUUACACUUUUGUGAUAUCAAUGAUGGGCUUCCCGAGAGUAUACACUGUCCUAGACUUGAAGUCUUACAUAUUGACAGUAAAGAUGAUUUUUUGAAAAUACCAGACGACUUUUUUAAAGAUAUGAUUGAACUCAGAGUCUUGAUAUUGACUGGUGUUAAUCUUUCAUGCUUACCUUCUUCUAUUAAAUGCCUAAAAAAACUGAGAAUGCUUAGUUUGGAGAGAUGCACUCUAGGAGAGAACUUAUCAAUCAUUGGAGAGUUAAAGAAAUUACGAAUUCUUACUCUUUCAGGAUCUAACAUUGAAAGUUUGCCUCUAGAAUUUGGGCAAUUGGAUAAGCUGCAACUUUUUGACAUAAGCAAUUGCUCAAAACUAAGAGUAAUACCUUCCAAUACCAUAUCAAGGAUGAACAGUUUGGAAGAGUUUUACAUGAGAGACAGCUUGAUUCUGUGGGAGGCUGAGGAGAAUAUCCAAAGUCAAAAAGCUAUUCUUUCUGAGUUGAGGCACUUGAAUCAGUUGCAAAAUCUAGACGUACACAUUCAGAGUGUUUCCCAUUUUCCGCAGAACUUGUUUUUGGACAUGUUGGAUAGUUACAAGAUUGUCAUUGGUGAAUUCAACAUGCUUAAAGAGGGAGAAUUCAAAAUCCCUGACAUGUAUGACCAAGCGAAAUUUUUGGCAUUGAACCUAAAAGAAGGUAUUGACAUUCAUUCUGAAACAUGGGUUAAAAUGUUGUUCAAGAGUGUUGAAUAUUUGCUGCUGGGAGAACUCAAUGAUGUUCAUGAUGUUUUUUAUGAAUUAAAUGUUGAAGGAUUUCCAUAUUUGAAACAUUUAUCCAUUGUGAACAAUUUUGGUAUUCAAUAUAUUAUUAACUCAGUGGAGCGGUUUCACCCUUUACUGGCUUUUCCCAAAUUGGAGUCCAUGUGUCUUUACAAACUGGAUAAUUUGGAGAAAAUAUGUGGCAAUAAUCAUCUUGAAGAGGCUUCCUUUUGCAGAUUAAAAGUCAUCAAGAUUAAAACAUGUGAUAAAUUGGAAAACAUUUUCCCAUUUUUCAUGGUCGGACUUCUCACCAUGCUUGAAACAAUUGAAGUGUGUGACUGUGAUUCUCUGAAGGAGAUAGUUUCUAUUGAAAGACAAACGCAUACUAUCAAUGAUGACAAGAUUGAGUUCCCUCAAUUACGACUUUUAACAUUGAAAUCUUUACCAGCAUUUGCUUGUUUAUAUACCAACGACAAGAUGCCUUGUAGUGCACAAUCAUUGGAAGUCCAAGUGCAAAACAGAAACAAAGAUAUCAUCACUGAAGUUGAGCAAGGUGCCACUAGUUCUUGUAUAUCACUCUUCAAUGAAAAGGUAUGUAAAAACAUUAUCAUAAAUGUGUCCUUUAUAAUCUCUAAUCUUUAAUUUGUAUGUUAUUCAUCUAAAAGAAGUAAAAAGUUGUGAUCGUUUAAGUUUUGUCAUUUCUCUUGGGUACAUCAAUUUUCAAAAUCAAAAUCUUAUUGUUGAGACAUUAAUUAUAUAUGUUCUUACAGGUUUCAAUUCCCAAAUUAGAAUGGUUGGAGUUAUCCUCAAUCAACAUCCAGAAGAUAUGGAGUGACCAAUCUCAGCAUUGUUUUCAAAAUUUGCUUACAUUGAAUGUGACAGAUUGUGGUGAUUUAAAAUAUUUACUGUCAUUCUCCAUGGCUGGAAGUUUGAUGAAUCUACAAAGCCUUUUUGUAAGUGCAUGUGAAAUGAUGGAGGAUAUAUUUUGUCCAGAACAUGCAGAGGUGUGUGGAGUCAUUUAAUAUUGACUUAGAUUAUUACUAUCAUUUGUUGUUUAAUUGCAUUAAUUGUUGAGGUCUUUCAUCUGCUCACCUAACAUUCACUUUUUUCUGCAGCAGAAUAUUGAUGUUUUUCCUAAGUUGAAGAAAAUGGAGAUCAUCGGCAUGGAGAAACUUAAUACCAUUUGGCAACCCCAUAUUGGUCUUCAUUCGUUUCACAGUUUGGACUCUUUGAUAAUAGGAGAGUGCCACAAACUUGUUACGAUUUUUCCUAGUUAUAUGGGGCAAAGAUUUCAGAGCCUUCAAAGCUUGACAAUUACAAAUUGCCAGUUAGUGGAAAACAUAUUUGACUUUGAAAUUAUUCCACAAACUGGUGUUAGGAAUGAAACAAACUUGCAAAAUGUAUUUCUAAAGGCCUUGCCAAAUUUGGUGCACAUAUGGAAGGAGGACAGCAGUGAAAUACUUAAAUAUAAUAAUCUGAAAAGCAUAAGCAUUAAUGAGAGUCCAAAUUUAAAACAUCUCUUUCCACUCUCUGUUGCCACUGACUUAGAAAAACUGGAAAUCCUUGAUGUAUACAAUUGCAGGGCAAUGAAGGAGAUUGUUGCUUGGGGCAAUGGUUCAAAUGAAAAUGCUAUCACGUUUAAGUUUCCUCAGCUAAACACUGUAUCAUUACAAAAUUCAUUUGAACUUAUGAGUUUCUACAGAGGAACUCAUGCUUUAGAGUGGCCAUCGUUGAAGAAAUUGUCCAUACUCAAUUGUUUCAAGCUGGAAGGGCUCACUAAAGACAUCACAAACUCACAAGGGAAGUCAAUUGUGUCGGCUACAGAAAAGGUACAUAACAAAAAGAAUGAAUUAAGACUCUCUCACUGAAUGAUGUGAGAAUAUGCCAUUUAUUUCUUAUAAAAAAAAAUAACACUAUAAAUAUCUUAUUGAGUGGUUCCAAGUAUGCUUCAAUAUUGAUAAGUCUAUUUUAUUUAUAUAUAUUUUAGGUGAUAUACAACUUGGAAUCUAUGGAAAUCAGCUUGAAGGAAGCAGAGUGGUUGCAGAAAUACAUUGUCAGUGUUCACAGAAUGCACAAACUACAAAGACUUGUCUUGUAUGGAUUGAAGAAUACUGAAAUUCUCUUUUGGUUUCUUCAUAGACUUCCCAAUUUGAAAAGCUUAACAUUGGGGAGUUGUCAAUUGAAAAGCAUUUGGGCUCCUGCAAGCCUCAUUUCACGUGAUAAAAUAGGUGUUGUUAUGCAACUUAAGGAGUUGGAAUUAAAGAGUUUGUUGUCUUUAGAAGAGAUAGGAUUUGAGCAUCACCCACUUCUUCAGAGGAUAGAACGCUUAGUCAUUAGUCGAUGUAUGAAAUUGACAAAUUUAGCAUCAUCCAUAGUAUCUUACAAUUACAUAACACAUUUGGAAGUGAGAAAUUGUAGAUCGCUGAGGAAUUUAAUGACAUCCUCAACUGCUAAAAGCUUGGUUCAACUCACAACCAUGAAGGUAUUCUUAUGUGAAAUGAUUGUGGAAAUCGUUGCAGAAAAUGAAGAGGAAAAAGUACAAGAGAUUGAGUUUAGACAAUUAAAAUCUUUAGAAUUGGUGUCUCUAAAAAAUCUCACAAGUUUUUGCAGUUCCGAGAAGUGUGACUUCAAAUUCCCAUUACUGGAAAGUUUAGUAGUGAGUGAGUGCCCUCAAAUGAAAAAAUUCUCUAGAGUCCAAAGUGCUCCAAACCUUAAAAAAGUACAUGUUGUAGCUGGAGAAAAAGACAAAUGGUAUUGGGAAGGUGAUUUGAAUGGCACUCUACAAAAACAUUUCACAGAUCAGGUACGCAUUAGAUAGAGUAUUUAAUUUGUUAACCAUCACAAAUUUUCAUCUACCUACACAGAUAAAUUAUUUUUCAUUUCAUUGAAAAUUUUCCUAAGUCAAUAUUCUACAAUUGGAUAAUUAUGUCACCAUGAUAAAACAUAUAUAAUUGUAGCUUAAAUAUAUUUUUGUUCAAUUUAAGUUUAUGUUUUUUUUUUAAUUUUGGUCCCUUUAAGAUAUCCUGCUCUAUUUUUUUUUUGUUUCAGUAAGUUUGUAUUUUUUUUCAAUCUUGAUCCUUAUAAGCGUGAACUUAUGGGAAUUAUAAAUAAAAAAAAUAGAACCUUAAAGGAACUAAAAUUAAAAAAUACAAACAUAUAAGAAUUAAAAAUAAAUAAAAAAACUUACACAAACCAAAAUUGAAAAGAACAUCAACUUCCAGAAAUUAAAAUUAAGAAAAAAUGAACUUCCAAAAAUCAAAAAUAAAAAAGCGUUGAGGCCAAAGAACAUAUUUAGACAUAUAAUUGUAUGUUGUCCCAUAUGUAAAAUAUGAAGCAAGCUUAUUAUGUACUUUUGUAAUUUGUACAGAUUCAAUUAGAUUUAUUUAUUGGUCAAGGUUUCCUUAUUUGUAGUAAUCAAGUCUGAUUUUAUUUCCAAAAUUCUUGCAUAGUUUUAUCAAGAAAGCUGCACAAAUCAACUACUGAUCUUUAUUAUACUCUUUGAAUUAUGAGAAAAUAAUAUUCACUUUUCAUAUUCCUAAUUUGUAUUAUAACUAAUUUACUGAAGUGGGAGUACAGUAUAAGAAUUUAAAUAGAAGAAUGCACUCACAAUUAACGUAAUUUUUUACAUUGUUAUCCAAUCAUUGAUUGUCAUGAAAUAAUUAUAUUAAAAUUUAAUUAGAAUGUGUUAAAUGUAUAAAAUAUUUUGUAUUACAUUGUUAUCAAGAGUGUAUCAACUUAUAAUCUUAUUUGUACUAUAAAAAAAGCUUAUAAUCUUACCUAUAGCUUAAAAGUCAUAUCCCAAAUGAUUUUUAUUUGAUUGAUAAUAUAAAAUUAUUUUUUUAUACGAAGAAAAAAAAAGGUAUACAACAAUUGAUGUAUCAUGUUCAAUUAAUUGAGCUAUUUAAAAUUGUUCACUUUAAUAUAUCAAAAUAGAAGUCAGAACAUGAAUGGAAAAUAAAAAAAGAAAAUUGAAUUUUAAUGUGAUGGCUGGAGAUAUCUCAGCAGCGAGGCACAUAUAUAGUUUUCUACAUCAAAAGUAAACCUAAGUCGUACAUAAGCAACAAUUUUUUUUUUACAAUAGAAUUUCUUAUAAUUUUUUAAGUUUAUAUACUCUACAAUCAAGACAUUUAACUUGGUUAAAAUUUGAAAAUGAUAGUAUAAUUACAACAAUAAUAUUUUAAAGAAAAUAGAAGUGGUUAGAACUUAUAAUGAAACAGGACUUUAUUUGAAUAUGAAGAUAAUAGCAUAUCCACAGUAACAAUAAUUAAUACAAUUAACUUAAAUAUAAAAACAAUAAUAUUCAUAUUUUAAAAUAAAAUAUUAUUUAAAGCGUAGUUUCGAGAGUUUCCAUACAUACACUCCUAACGUUGAGUUUCAAUGCUUUGAAGGUAUUUUUUGAAUAUUCAAAGCAUAUGAUCCUUCUCGAUUACCUUGAGGCAACGGGUGUUAGGCACGGCAAGCCUGCUUUUCUGAAGAAUAUCUUUGGCAGUUUAAAGAAAUUGGAAUUUGAUGGAGCCAUUAAAAGAGAGAUUGUAAUUCCAUCUCAUGUACUUCCUUACUUGAAGACCUUAGAAGAAUUGAAUGUACAUAGCUCCGAUGCAGCGCAGGUAAUAUUUGACAUAGAUGACACUGAUGCCAACCCCAAGGGUAUAGUCUUUCGUUUGAAAAAACUUACUCUAAAACGCUUGCCUAAUUUGAAAUGUGUAUGGAACAAAACCCCCCAAGGAAUUCUCAGCUUUUCCAAUUUGCAAGAUGUGGAUGUUACUGAAUGUAGAAGCCUGGCAACAUUGUUCCCUUUGUCCCUUGCCCGAAAUCUUGGGAAGCUUAAGACCCUUCAAAUAUUUAUCUGUCAAAAGUUGGUAGAAAUUGUUGGAAAGGAAGAUGUGACGGAACAUGCAACAACUGUUAUGUUUGAUUCCCUUGUUUGUGGACUGCUUCUUAUAAGCUGUCCUGCUUAGUGCUUUUUAUCCUUGAAAACACCAUCUGGAAUGCCCCUCCUAACAAGCUUGCGUGUGUCCUAUUGUCCUAAGUUGAAGCUAUUCACAUCAGAAUUUCGAGAUAGUCCCAAACAAGCAGUUAUAGAGGCUCCAAUUAGCCAACUACAACAACAACCUCUGUUCUCGGUUGAAAAGGUGACAAAACAUUAUCAGUUAUACUUUUUGUGCUUUUUUUUUCUUUAAUUUCAUAUUAUAUUUUCCUCCUUCUAAUUACCACCUUGCAUUUUCUUUUUAAUUUGUUUGGCCUUGCUAGAUUGCAAUCAAUCUGAAGGAAUUGACACUCAAUGAGGAAAACAUUAUGUUGUUGAGCGAUGGACAUUUGCCACAAGACCUCCUUUUCAAAUUAAGAUUUCUUCAUCUAUCCUUUGAGAAUGAUGACAAUAAGAUAGACACUUUGCCUUUUGAUUUCCUUCAGAAGGUACCCAGCUUAGAACAUCUUCUAGUGCAAAGGUGCUAUGGUCUGAAGGAGAUAUUUCCCUCUCAGAAACUCCAAGUUCAUGACCGUUCACUUCCCGCAUUGAAACAAUUAAUCCUGUAUAAUCUUGGAGAGCUGGAGUCGAUAGGGUUAGAGCACCCAUGGGUUCAGCCAUACUCUCAAAAGCUUCAAUUAUUACAUCUUAUCAACUGUUCUCAGUUAGAAAAACUAGUGAGCUGUGCAGUGUCUUUCAUCAAUCUGAAAGAGUUGCAAGUGACGUGCUGUAAUAGGAUGGAGUAUUUAUUGAAAUUCUCAACUGCCAAAAGUUUGUUGCAACUUGAGACCCUAUCUAUAGAGAAAUGUGAAUCAAUGAAGGAAAUAGUAAAAAAAGAAGAAGAAGAUGCUUCUGAUGAGAUCAUAUUUGGACGCCUCAGAAGAAUAAUGUUGGAUUCAUUACCAAGGCUAGUAAGGUUUUAUUCAGGGAAUGCCACUUUGCAUUUAAAGUGUUUGGAAGAAGCCACGAUUGCUGAAUGCCAGAAUAUGAAAACAUUCUCAGAAGGAAUAAUAGAUGCGCCAUUAUUAGAGGGGAUUAAAACUUCAACAGAGGAUACUGACUUAACCUCCCACCAUGAUCUCAACACCACAAUCCAGACCUUGUUUCACCAACAGGUCAGGAAUCAUUAUCCACCAAAUUCAAUUGUUAUUUGUUUAUAUCUCUAAACAUAGGGGGCAUGCUAAUUAACCAAUGUCUCAACAAUAUUGAUUAAAAAAUUCGAGUUAAAAUAUGUUUGUAACUUUAAAUAAAUAUCUAAAAUUUGUGUUUGAUUCUUAAUAAUAUUUUUUUUGUGUGUGUCAUAAGUUUUUUUUUUUUUGUUAUUGGUCCUUCAUAUUUUUUAUAAUUCCUAAUAAAUUUAUAUUUAUUUGUUUAUUAUUUUUUAUUUUAGUAUUUUUUUUUAAAAUGACUAAUAACAAAUACAAAAAAUUUAUUUGGGAGUAAACAAAAACAAAUUUCUUAAUUUAUAAGACACUAAAAAAGAAUCAUUGACCAAAAAUAAGAUUGUUAUUUUAUUAAAGAUUCAAUAUAAUUUUAUUUUCCUUUUAAUUCCUUAAAUAAUGUCCUAAAAAUACUAGUUAAUCAAACCUUUAUUUUAAAAUGUACACUCUCGUUCUUUCCCUUGUACUUUAGGUAAUUUUUAAUGUAUAUAAUAUCUUAAUAGUUGUGAAUAAAUAUGAGUUAGUGUGUCUCCCAAUUAUAUAUUAUCUUUUUCUACCACUUUUAAUGUGACCACCAACUAAUUUUUAAAAACCUAUAUAUUGUUGAUCAUAAUUUUUUUAUAAAGUAGAAUGAAACUUUAAAUAUUUUUAUUAUCACCAAUGAAUUAAGUCUAAUAAAAGAGCUUAAUCGAUGUAAUAAAUUAAUUAUAUAUGUUUCAAAUUAUUGAUAAAAUAGAUGUUCACAUUUAUUAUCUGACUUAGUUUUAAAUAGAAUUGUCUCUAAAUUAAAAACUAAAAAAUAUCUCUUUAAUUGCUUAUGAAAUUUCAUCUUCUAAUCAAAGUCACAAAAUUCAUAUCAUAUGUUCGAAAUUUGUAGAUCAUGGUGAGGAUAACUGCAAGAGAAUUAUUAGUUUAAAAAAAAAACUCAUUUACAUGAUAUAGACUGAAUUAUAAUACUUAUUUAUCUUUCAAGGAAGGAGAGUGUAUAUUUUAAAAUAAGAGUGAAAGUGAAUAUAAUUUAAGCUUCUCUAGGAUAGCAGAAGGAGAUUUACUCUAAAAUAUUUCUUACGGCAUACAUUACUUACUACAUUAAAAACUUGUCAUGAUGAUAUCUUUGUUUGCUUUUACCAACACUUGUUUGAUCUUUUACCAAUAGGUUGUGUCAUAAAUCAAUAUCUCAAAAGUUUAUUUGUUUUGGACAAAGACAUACAUAUGGUUUUAUAUAUUAUAUCUCUAAUUUGCCUUUGAAUCCCUUUGAUUAGCUUGAAAUGUGGAUAAUACAAUCCAUCUACGACCUUUAGACUCUAAUACUUACUUACAAUAUAUAUCAUGAACCAAUAAUUAAUGUCACAAGAUUAAGAUUAAGCUGUUGCGUAAAGGCACAUGAAUGAUUUUAAUUAAUAAUAUAUCUCAUAUAUUAAAUUUUAAAUACAUUUUCAUUAUUACAAUGGCUAUUGUGAGAAUAACAUAUUUAUAAUGUUCUUAUUAAGUUCUAUUUGACUUAUUAUAAUUAAUAAAUUUUGUGUUUGUUAUUUUAUAAUAAUUUUUUUUCAUUGGCUCUCCUAUAAAAUAAUAAUUUUAUUUCUAUUCUUGGUAUCGUUUUUUAAUCACUAAUGAACUUUUUUUUAUAACCUGAUAUUUUUUUUCAUGUUAUUAAACAAAAAAUUAAUAAUUUAUCAUCAACUAAAAAAGGUGUCAUAAACAAAAAUAAAACUUUUGUUUUAUUAGGAAUUCAAUACAAAGAACAAUAUUUAUUAAAAAAUAAAUAUAAAAUUUAAAUAUUUAUUGAGGAUCUAAAAUAUAUUUUACCCUAAUAUAAAUGUGAGAAAAAAGGAUAAGAGAGCUACCUUAUAGAAAGAAAUUAAGUAUCUAAAUGGACCAAAAAGAUACAGCAGUCAAAUUCGUUGUAUUUGACCCGUGUAACAAGACAAAGGAUAAGGUUCAUAAUCUCCACCAUGGGUAACACAUGUUUUGAAACUUCAAACACAUUUUUUGGAAGCUUAAAACAAAAGAAUACAUUUUUAUCCUACUUAAAUUGUAAAGAAAAAAUGAAAACUUAAAUUAGAGUAAGAUCAACUUCUAUGAAUAUCCAUUUUUAUCCUCUAACUUUUUAUCUUUAUCAAUAUUUUAAUUUUUUAAUCCAUGUUUUUUUGUUAUUGCUAAUACCUUGAAGAUAGUUUAGACCAUGUCUAUUAGGACAAAACCCAGCCUUUUCACUCUUUUUUUUUUUUUUUUUAUCGUAGGCUAGUUGAGUUCAAUUUCAAUUUUAUUUUGUUUCCUCUUCACCUUCCAUUAUUUUAUUUAUAACUCAACACAAUUUUUCUUGCCUUUUUCUUUUUAUUUAUAUAUUAUUUUAUUUGUGUCUUCUUAAACCAAAAUUUAACCACAAUUGUUAUUUUCACUCAUCUUUACACACUAUGACACUUCCUUUCUUAUUUUAUACCAAAAUUACCUUGCUAAACACUAUCAUCCUCUUUCUCUUCUCUUUCUUCAGAAAAGAAAAGAAAAAGAAAAAAGGCACUCCCCUCCACAACUCUAGUAACACAUUUGACAAAUGUGAAUGAUCUUAUUAUAAUUUGCUCAUUUUUUUAAAACAAAAUACUUAUGAGAGUAGUACAAAAUAAAGAAAUAUAUUUUGAAGCAAAUUUGUUCAUGCGCGUGCCUGUCGAUAACAAAACAACUCUUAACUCAACCAUUUUUGGAUGUCUUGAAUUUUUAUAUAUAGAAUAUUUCACUAAAGCAUGGAUGUAUCUCAACCUUAUUUUUGCUUGGGUGUUUAAUUCUUAAUCUUGUUAUAUGAUAUUAUUAAGAGAAAACAAAAGGACACCAUAAGGAAUGCCCCUUCUAGAACAUACAAUGCAUGUACACAACUCAGGAUAACAUACACUUACAAAAAGAUACUCACUAAAAUAAGUUACACUAAAAGAACACAAUUUUACAAAUAAAAAAAUGCUACAGAAAUAAAAAAAAACUGAUAUAUUAUUUAUAAUAAAAAAUACCGAUAAUUUUUUAUAUUUUAGAAAUCUACUGGAGGUCCCAAACAGCUCCCUUAAUUUUACUCAACCUUUUCAUACUAAUUGGGCAUAUUAACCCAAAAUAUUAUGUUAAAGUAUAAUUGGAUAUCUAAAGCCUUAUGUUUUUUUAUUUUUUAUAAGAGGAGCACAAAACAUUCUAUCAACCUUCUUUUCUUUUCUCUUCUCUUCUAUUUUUUUUUUAAUAUUUUGGGCGGGCAUGAGCUGUUAUAUUUUGGGCUUACAUGAGCUGAAAAGUUAUGUUAUCUUUUCUCCUUAUCUUUUCGUUUCAUUACAAUUUUCUUACCAUGUGGGUCAUAGACCUUUAGUCACUAUUUUAUUCCCAUUUUGGUCUUUCUACAUUUUAGACCAUUGGAAUCCAUUCUAAAAAUAAUAAAGAAAAUAACUCCUCUAGCCCAAAUAUUAAAAGAUGCUCUUACUUUAAAUUACAUGUAUAAACUUAUUUCUAUUAGACUCGUACAAAAAUAAUAUAUCAAAAUAAAGCGCAAAAUUUAAUUAAAAAACAAAAAUGAGAAUUUGAAAUUUAACAAGAGAUAAUUGUAGAUAUCUCAAUUAAGGAGGCACAUGCAUAUAUAGUUUUCUACAAUCAAAUGUAAAUCCAAGUGGUACACACGAGACUUGUCAAGUAUCUGACGUUGAGUUUCUCUGGCUUUGAAGGUAUUUUUUGAAUAUUCAAAGCAAAUGAUCCUUGUCGAUUACCUUGAGACAACGGGUGUUAGGCGCGCCAAACCUGCUUUUCUGAAGAAUUUCUUUGGCAGUUUAAAGAAAUUAGAAUUUGAUGGAGCCAUUAAAAGAGAGAUUGUAAUUCCAUCUCAUGUACUUCCUUACUUGAAGACCUUAGAAGAAUUCAAUGUACAUAGCUCCGAUGCAGCGCAGGUAAUAUUUGACAUAGAUGACACUGAUGCCAACACCAAGGGAAUGCUCCUUCCAUUGAAAAAGCUUACUCUAGAAAGCUUGUCAAAUUUGAAAUGUGUAUGGAACAAAACCUCCCGAGGAAUUCUCAGCUUUCCCGAUUUGCAAUAUGUGGAUGUUCAAGUUUGUAAAAACUUGGUGACACUGUUCCCUUUGUCCCUUGCCCGAAAUGUUGGGAAGCUUCAGACCCUUGUAAUACAGAACUGUGACAAGUUGGUAGAAAUUAUUGGAAAGGAAGAUGCGACGGAACAUGCAACAACUGAAAUGUUUGAAUUCCCAUUUUUGUUGAAGUUGCUUCUUUUUAAGCUGUCACUGCUUAGUUGCUUUUAUCCUGGGAAACACCAUCUGGAAUGCCCCGUAUUAGAAAGCUUGGGUGUGUCCUAUUGUCCUAAGUUGAAGCUAUUCACAUCAGAAUUUCACAAUGAUCACAAAGAAGCAGUUACAGAGGCUCCAAUUAGCCGGCUACAACAACAACCUCUGUUCUCAGUUGAUAAGGUGACAAAGCAUUAUCAGUUAAACUUUCUGUGCUUCCUUUUUUUCUUAAUUUCAUAUUAUAUUUUCCUCCUUCUAACUACCACCUUACAUUUUCUUUUGAAUUUGUUUGGCCUUGCUAGAUUGUUCCCAAUCUGAAGAGCUUGACACUCAAUGAGGAAAACAUUAUGUUGUUGAGCGAUGCACGUUUGCCACAAGACCUCCUUUUCAAAUUAACUUGUCUUGAUCUAUCCUUUGAUAAUGAUGGCAUUAAGAAAGAUACUUUGCCUUUUGAUUUCCUUCAGAAGGUACCCAGCUUAGAACAUCUUCGAGUGGAAAGAUGCUAUGGUCUGAAGGAGAUAUUUCCCUCUCAGAAACUCCAAGUUCAUGACCGUUCACUUCCCGCAUUGAAACAAUUAACACUGUUAGAUCUUGGAGAGCUGGAGUCGAUAGGGUUAGAGCAGCACCCAUGGGUUAAGCCAUACUCUGAAAAGCUUCAAAUAUUAACUCUUUGGGGGUGCCCUCGAUUAGAAAAUUAGUGAGCUGUGCAGUGUCUUUCAUCAAUCUGAAAGACUUGGAAGUGAUCGACUGUAAUGGGAUGGAGUAUUUAUUGAAAUGCUCAACUGCCAAAAGUUUGAUGCAACUUGAGAGCCUAUCUAUACGAGAAUGUGAAUCAAUGAAGGAAAUAGUAAAAAAAGAAGAAGAAGAUGGUUCUGAUGAGAUCAUAUUUGGAGGCCUCAGAAGAAUAAUGUUGGAUUCAUUACCAAGGCUAGUCGGGUUUUAUUCAGGGAAUGCCACUUUGCAUUUCAAGUGUUUGGAAGAAGCCACGAUUGCUGAAUGCCAGAAUAUGAAAACAUUCUCAGAAGGAAUAAUAGAUGCGCCAUUAUUAGAGGGGAUUAAAACUUCAACAGAU
rnacentral:lncRNA from 1 species